GAGGUGGAAGAGUUGUUGUGGUGUUUUGUUGGAGGAGAGUGAGUCUAUGUGGUGUAGUUGAAGUGAGAGAGGUUCAGAGUCGGAUAGAGAUUCUUGUUCUGAUUCUUGUGGCCAUGAGAGGGUUGAAGGGUUAGGGAGAGAGUGAAUAGGUAGAGUUUGGGUUUGGAAAAGAGUGGUGGUGGUGGUGGAUGAGAGUGUGAAGGAGAUAGCUAAUAAUAGGAAGAGAAGGGUUCUUUUGUUGUAGUUCUCUUCCAUUGUAGUGAGAGUGAAGAGAAAAGAGUGUGAUAUGAGAGUAGUAGAAAUGGUGAAUAAAUAAGUAGUGGUACUAGUAGUAAGUAAUAAUUGAAUGAGAAGAGAGUGAGAGUGAGGUUCGGUGCGGUUGUGUUGAAAUGAGUGUGGGGUGGCUGAGUCAGUGCAGUGAUUGUUGUCUAACCAUAUUAGAUUACAUUACCCGUGUAAAAAUGAAUUAUUAUUAUUGCGUGUAGUUGGGUAAGGUUGGUGUUGUUGGGGUAGAGCUGGAUAUCAUUACCAGUAAUUGCUUUGCCUUUAUUGUUAUUCUAGAUAGACGGGUGAGUUAUGUUAUGGAGAAUCUUUCAUUGCUUCUUGCAAUUAGUUAUGGUAAGUAGUUACACUACCAACAAGUGGCCAAUGUCCAAUUUGCUACUACUAUGUGGCCAAUGCCCCAUGCAUUUAGUGAAUUUCUAUUCAAACUAAAUUUUGUAACUAGUUUCUUACGUUUGUUCAGAAUACUAAGUUUGUAAUUUUUAUCACUAAAGUAACAUUAAAUAUCGUUAAAAAUGUGUUAAGAAAAUAUUAUUAAUAGAUAAUUUUAUCUCUAAUGUGGCAUCUCUUUUAUUUUCUUAUAAUAUUAAACUAAUUAUUAUAGUUAUAUAAUCUUUCUGUUGAGAUAAUCAUUUAAAUUUAAAUUUAAAUUUUGCAAUUCAAAACAAAAAUUAAUAGUCAAGCGGAAACUUCUGAUAGUUGUAAGUGGAAAAAAAUAUUUUGUAAUUGAUAAAAAAAUAAUUAAUAUUUGGAUAAUUUUUUCGAAGGGAAUCAGAUGAAACCAUAAAACCAUAGAAAUUAAGUGUUUGAGAGGUUUUUUUUUACAAGAGAGGAAUGUCCAUCAUUUUUGUGGUCUUUCAAGUUCUUCUUUGUAUCCGUGUCACCCCUUUUGAUCAGUGUCACCCCUUUUGAUAUUCUCUUUGGAAUCUCUUAUGUAAUUCUCCUUUCAAUCCUUUUUCUUUGACUUUUUCUAUAAUGAGAUACCCCUACGCUUCCUAUGCUUGAAUUCUCAAGGAAAUGUAUGUCGUCUCACUAAUGACUACUAAUCAUGAGUUGCAACAGUUCAAACAUCAAUUUUGUAACCUCUAUGUGACCCUGUUCGCACGGGUUUUUGGGCGAAGAAUCUCUAACCUCCUAUUGAGGUUUACUUGCAGGAUCAGCUACAAAAUCCUAGACUAAGUGUUAAGUUUAUGAGAUGUUUUAUUUAAAUGUUUGGAUUAAGAAAACAAUAGACACGAAAUGCAUGUAAAAGGUGCAAUUAAAAUAGAUGGACGAAAGACAAGAUAAACCGUAAAUGGCAAAGUAGAUAAAAAGACUUGGUAAUUUAAAUUGCUUGAAGGUAAAUGUGGACGCAAUCAUACAUUUUCGUAGGAAUGAACUUUUUUCUCUAAAUGCUUGAUACUUUGAGUGUUUUCCCUCUACAAUGUUACAAAUGCGACCUUUAAAACUAACAAUGAACUUUGCUUAAAUAGGAAAUAAAAUUAACUUCUAUUUCGCUCUUGAUGAUUAAUAGCUUGACAUGUGUUUGUCCACUUACUUUAUAACUUCUCACGUUCUUACUAUUUUCAAAUCUUACCCACGUAAACUGUCAUUUGCUUCGACUUCGACCUGCACAUUUUCUAUCUGUCGGACCUAUUUCAACUUGGCCUGUGUUCCAUAUUCGUCUUGUCUGUCGAACCCCUUCGACCAUGUUCACUCUUCUCGACGCUUCGUUUUGUGAUUCCAUACUUCUCGCUUCGAUUUUCCUCUUUUGCUUAGUCAAAAUUUGUUGGCUAACAAAUUUCCCCUUAAAAGGCCAGUUUCGAUUGAGAAACUUGGCGUUUUGUCUUUCCCAAUUUCGACUGGGUGUCUAAUCGUUGUUGAUAUCAUGCGCAAUGACGAAACCUUUAUGUGCCAUGAUUUCUAAGGGGAGAUAUCAUCAUUUGCAGUUACUUCCUAGGUCGUGGAUUUUCAACCACCUUUAUUAACUUUCCACUAUAGUAGAAACUGAACAUUUUUUUACCCUAGACUGUCUCUUGGUUGGCCUCAACUUUUGCUUACAAAUACCAUUCUUUCACAUUUUUUGUUUUCCUUCUUCUCUGUUUGCGUAUAUUUUUCUAUAACUUUCAGAACAAUAAUACUUUCCUCAUUUCCCUUCUUUCUUCCAUUAAAGUGGCCUCUUCUGCUAACGCUAUGGAUGCAGUCACCUAUAACACUGGUAACAACCCCGUUGCUUUCAACCUCACUGAAGAAGAAAUUCUAAAACCCAUUCCUCAACCAGCAUCUACUAACGAAGUUGUAGUAGAGAUUUGACAACGUCAAAUGCUCAUUCCCUUUGUUGUUGCUGAUAAAUUCCUCGCUUUCCACGAGCCAUAUCGAAAUACAAAAAUGCAAUUGAAAAACGUCCAAUCAUACUUUCCUUGCUUUACUCCAGCUGUUCCACCGGCCUUUGAGAAGAAUGGUUCCAUCGACCUGAAGUUCAUGGACCCAAAGGCCAGGGUUUUUAGGUCGAUGCCCACUCUUGGUAACAAAGAGUAUGUGGCUUGGCUCAACAAAUUCCAAAACAAACGUCAGGAAUAAUGGAAAACGGUUGGCAUCUUCGACUCCAUCCAAAUUUCGAGGAACCCCAUCGAAUCAACCCAUGUAUGUUACUUGCUUCGAUGUACUUCUGGGAAGGUUCGACUAACACCUUACAACUCCCUUAUGGCAUGUUUACGCCUACCCUUUUCGACAUGGCAGCCAUCACUGGUCUCUCAUCUCUGGGCGAAACCUUCGACCCAACUCUUUUGACGGAAAACAGUUUUGCCUUCAAUCGUGCAAGUUUUUAGAAUUACAUUGAAAAUCACUAUGAUCAGGACUCCACUGAAGUGUCCGACGAGGAACACAUUGCUUUCCUAACUCUCUAGCUCUCAUAUUAUUUGUUUUGUCAUGGCUCUCUAUAGAUAGCUAAGAGCUAUAUAAGCUUGGAGAUCCAAAAUCAUGAAGGUAGAUUGGUCUCUUUGGGCAAGCUUCUGCUAGCAUCUCUUUACCACUAUCUAGGGCUUACGACACUGAAGCUAAAGUUUCUCCACUCUACUUCUAAGGCCUUAAAUAUGUCUGGCCCUAUGUGGUGCUACAACACUAGCUAAAUGCCACUUUCGAGUAUCGGUUGGGUUAUCUUGUGUCGGUGUGUAUGAUGCGUUUGACCCAGGAUCAGCCUAUAGAAGGUGUAAGACUUGCCUUGAUGAUAUGUCAGGAGACCCCCUACAAACAUAUUUUCACGAAGUACAUUAAUAUGUUCAUUGAAGCCACCUCUUUUGUUCUAGGCAUGGCCCCUUUUGUGGAUAGAAACUUUGGUCUAACAUGGUUCAAAAACCUUUUUCCUGGUGACUCUCCAUAAGCUGUAGCACUGCCGAACACUGUGUGGAUGGCAUUUCUGACUCCCACAAUGUUGUCCUUUAGGAUAAAGAAUGGGUCGAAGGGGUAUGGAUUUAUGAACUAUCAGUCCAACUUGGUGGCUCAACAAUUUGGCUUGAGUGAGAUGCUGCCAAAAUCUUUGGUGUAUCAAUUAACUGAUAUUGUGUGGGCUGGUCAACAACUAAACUUUAAAGGUCACAAAGCUUGCCUUAAAUUUCACAAAUCGACUCAGCACCUUGAGUUACCCGUUUUCAAAUUUCACCAAUCAUUCUUAACGACCAAGGACUUCAACAAGUAGUGGUCUGAAUACCAACACAAGUAUUUCCCCAAUGCACUCUUCCUCCAAAAUUUGAUUGACGUUUUUUCUGCCCUUGCUGGUGAAACACUGGCUUCACAGCCGAAUACUGACGCUCCCGUCGAGAACAUACAAACUAUUGAUGCCGAUGAGGACCAACCAAAGAAGGUUAAUAUUGCUUUAUUUCCUUUCCUUUCUUUAAGAAGCAAAACCCACUUACCUUCUCUGUAUUUGUUUUCUAGGGUCGAAAGCGGGCUCCAGUUGCUGCGCCAUCUACUCCGUCCACUUCGGCAAGAAAGAAAAAGAAAGUUCCAGCCAAGAAACCAUCUUUAAAAACUCUUUCUUUGACUACAAAGAUUUUUGUCUCUGACGUUCUUAUUGAGAUCUUUAAACCCAUUGGUCAAGAAGAACCUAUUCCAACUUCCCCAAAACACGUAACUCCCGAGGUAUUUGAACAUUCUUGUUUGGUAACCUCAUGAAUUAUUCCUCGAUAUUGAUCCUAACUUCUUUUUGUAGGGAAAAACGGCUGAUUCGACUCUAUAAGACCCUAAUUUUGAUCCUAAGAUCCCUCAUGUUAUCUCAUCGUAUGCAUUGGGAUCACACUUUGGCAUUCUCCUUACCCCUCAUUCAUUAGGUUUGCAUUGGGAGAGAUCACCAAGCACAUUUUAUUGUAUCAUACUUCAUUUUUCUUUGUUUACUAACCAAAAUACCAAAAAUAUGUCAUUUGUAUAGAUUAACUCUUUUGUAGGUGGUGUGCAUGCUCACCUAUGCUCUAUCAAGCUCAUAUCUAGGGUUUAACACCCUCAUUGCAAGGAGCUCAAUCAAUAAUUGGUCUAUAUUGGCUCUAAUUAUCAUAUAUGAAUCCCCAUGAUCUUCACAUGUCAUUUUUAUCAAGAAACCAUCAAGAGUUGGGGGUUUUGUUUGCCUUGGAAACCCUAAUUCAUCUGGGUAUCUUGUGUGACUUCUUCAACAAAUUUCUCCAAUAAUUGAUCAAAUAUUCCAAGGUAUACUUCACAUUACAUCAUCUUAUGCAUAUAUGAUCCUCCAUGAGUCCCAAAAGUCAAGAGAAUGUCAAGCUAGCAAAUUGGUUCAUGGUGGUUGACCAGGGAAAGUUAACUGAUCAAAAUUGGGGUUCCCUGGACCCUAUCUCCUACAACUUUUGUCAUAUGAAAAUGAUUCCAAGAUCAAAGUUACUCUAAGUGACAUUUAAAACAACUUUCAGGUUGAGGUCAAGAUCUAAUUUUUCCUGGAAGGUCAUUUUUUAUGGUGAAAGAUUAUAGGGCAUUUUGUCUAAACCCUAAUUUAGAAGUCAACUUCUCAAGACCAUAACUUACUCAAUUUUCAUGAGAUGAAAGCCAAUAAAAUUUCAUAAUCAAAUUCAAGAUGUCUAAGUCAACUUUUAUGUUUGGAGGAAGUGCAAAUUCAACUUGCAAAUGCAUGUGCAAAGAGGAAACAUUAUAGGUCAUUUUGGGCCAAUACCAUUGAACAAGUGAUUUUCCUCAACUUCUAAAAUGCAUAACGCCUCCAUAACAAAUCCAAAUGAGGCCAAAUUUGUCACAAAAUUGAAUAGGUUUGAAAUAACUAUAACUUUGAUGAAGCAACCUUUCUCAUUUUAAGUUCAUAGAAAAAGUUAUUCAAGGUGGAAGAAGUGAACAUUUGACUUGGGACUUAGAAAUUUUUCAAAUAUGUUUGAUUUCUGAAACUUCCACCUCAAAAUUCAUCAUGAUCCAAGCUUCAAAUUAAAAAGUGUUUAACAUGAAAGUUGUUCCCCUUGAUCUCACCAUUCCAAAACAUCCAAGAUGAUAUCAUUUGGACCAAAAUUGAAGGACUUGCACAUGGUUUCAUUAUGGGAAGUGUUUUGGCAAGAUUGAACUUCACAUGAUCAUUUCCAUUUGCAUGUUUGCACAUGAUGGUUUCAGCAGACUUUGUACAUGAUUUGGAAGUGGAUUGCAUCACUCUUGAGGCCCAAAUGAUUGCUCAUGCACCCAUGCAAGGAAGUUGCUAAUUUUGUCCAAUUUUCAAGUGGUGCAAAUAUCAAACACAUUGCCUAUUUAAACAAGCUUAAGGCUUCAGAUUCAUGAUCAACACCUUGCCCAAGCUUUGUUAGACCUCUGCAAACCCUCACUGCCAUAGAAUUUUCUAAGAUUUCUUUUGAAAUCUAGCUUGAACUUCACCUUUUGUUUGGAAGUUAAAACCCCAGAAAGCAAUCAAAUCCAGAUCAAGAUCAAGUGAAAUUGGAUCAACUCGAAUGUGAUUUUUCAGAAAUUUCUCCUCUUCGAUUCUAUUUUAUUUAUCCACUAUUCUUGUUGAUUUUUGGUUGUCUGAAGUCCUACCAAUGUAGGCAACAAGAUUGAGUUCUUUGAGGUCAAAUCGAAGCAACUCAGUUCAUGAUCCUCAAAAUUCAACUCCCUGUAUCUUUUCAUAUACUUGGAAUUUGAUAAAAUUGAGGCCAAAUUCAAAUUCAUGAGCAUUUUUUUCUUUAAAUCCAUGUCUUGCUUUUUCAUUUUGGUGAUGGUUGAAGGUGGACCAGUCUGGUGAGGUCCACCGGAGAAGAAGAUCGGAGCUCUGUCUCCGGCGAUGUGUUGGAAGCAUCUCAACCAUAGGAUCCAUUCAAAUUAUUUUAAUCUUGAGCGUUGUUUCUAAUUACCAAGCGUGCAUCUUAGUUGACCCAUACCUUUGUGGAACGCGCGCUUUGGACCAUCUGAUCUGCCACCUCAAUUAAUGGGGGAGAUCAGAUGGUCCACGUAUUUUUGAAUUUUUGAAUUUUCAUUUUUAUUGCUUUAUUUUCAUUAAUUCAUAUUAAUUUCAUUAUUGAUCCAAAAAAUACGGGACUUUCACCAAAAAAAAUCAAAUGUUUGUCUCUUUUAUUUUCUGAAUUAAAAUUAUCUUUUGGAUCAAUAUUGGUAUUUUUUAUGAUUUAAUUGUUUUUGUGCAUAUUUUUAAUUGUUUAGAAAUACUUUUGACUUUUCAAAAAUAGUGAAAAAAUUUCUCCAAGGUCCUUUGACCUUGUUUGACCUAUGAUAAAUCUCUUGGCCAUUUAUUUCGUGUUUUGAAGAGGUUUUAGGUUUUUGAUAAAACAUAAUUUAAUUUAAUGCAUUUUAAUUUGAUUUUUAUUUGUUUAAAUUGUGAAUAAAUUGUGUUGAGUCAUUUUUAUUGACUUGUGGAGUUUGACUAUUGUGUUUGGGCCUUGGUUAAUGUUGAUUUGACUUUUGUUGGAUUAAAAUCAUUGGAUUUAGGGGAUUGAUGAAAUGUACAUUUCAUCUCCCAAAAUGAAUGAAUGAUUUUAAUUUGAUAAAAUUUCUCCCAUGACCAAUUUGUGUUUGAUUUUGUUGGAUUAAAAUCAUUGGAUUUAGGGGAUUGAUGAAAUGUACAUUUCAUCUCCCAAAAUGAAUGAAUGAUUUUAAUUUGAUAAAAUUUCUCCCAUGACCAAUUUGUGUUUGUCUCAUUCCCCCUCCCUCUUCAUCUUCAAUCCCUUUCUACCCCAUUCCUCUCAUUGGCCAAUGACAUCUCAAUAUCCCAAGGCUAAUUUAUUCAUGAACCAAUACAAGUAUGGAUGAGAUUGGGUCCACCAUUUAAUCAUUUUCUUUUUUGUGUGUGGUAUGUUUUAGGAGUAUGAUUUAUUAUACCAUAUCUCUAACAUGCAUUAACACCAAAAAAUUUAUUGCCCGACCUCAGAUAGUUGUGACUUCUACAUAAGUCCAAUUACGAUUGCUUAACAUAGCGCUAAAUUUUGAUCCAAAAGCAUAGCAUUCUAAUAAGUGAGAUUGUAAGUCUCCCCCCUUUCAUGGUAUUGUGUGGAAACUUGGUCUUUUUUCCUUCCUUUGGAAGAUAUCUUGGUUCAAGGAUCCAUGCUUGUGAAUAGAGGGUUGAGUGUUCUCCAAAGAAUGACUUAAACAAUUGAAAAGUAAAACUCCACUAACUUCUAAUCAACUAACCCUUGACUAACUCUUUAAUUUCAAGUCAUUUACUUUAUGCACUUUAAAUUCAAGCCAUUUAUCAUUUGUCAUUAUACAUAUCAUUUAACCUGUUUAUUUUUAAUGUCAUUUUCACUUUGCUCACUUAAGCCAUAGAUUGUGAUUGUAUAUAUUUGUUUGUUUAUCUUGUUUGUGUGUGUGGUCUUAGGACCUUAAAAUACUCAAUAAACAACAAAAAUCCUAAAAAUAUUUGUGUGGACUGUUGGAUUUAAUCUGAGCAUUGGACUUAGAAUUAGGCAACAUUCCCUAUGCAAAAGGACUUGGCCAAUGCCAACAUUUCUGAAACCAAGUCAUUAUGAUGUGAGCUUUCAUCUAAUGUAAGUUUUGGGAUCCACUUGAGUUCAUCUGCAACUUGGUAUUGAUGAAAAUGUUACUUUGAAUCUGUGUCUAAUGCUUUAUUCUGAGUCAUUCAAGGAGUAUGCCAUCUGAUACACGGGAGCUUAAGAAGAAGACUAUGAAGUUGCUAGCUUGGAUGUGGCUAUAUUUAUUUGAUGCAUUGCUCUUCAUAUUCCUUGUUUAUUGGUAUUUGUUUGAUUCUAAAGUCCAAAGGAAAAAUGGGUUUCUAUAUGACAUUCUUGUCUAUUGGAUUGCAUCCCAUUGGUCAGAUCUUUUCCACUCUUAACUUUUAAGUUUUUGCUUAGGACUAGUCUCUUCAUCUCCUCCCACUUCUUAAAUUUCAAAUCUCUCCCUCUUUUCAAAAAUCUUCUUUGCUUGUGAUUUUUAAACCUAGACCUUAUUGCAAACUAGAAACUUUGGCCUUAUACCAUUGCAUUUUUAAACUCUUUUCUUAAAUCAAAUUUGUAAGUGAAUCUAAUCAUAUUGACUUAAAAUUUCAAAAGACAAAAAGAACUAACACUCAUCCAAACUCUUUUAGGCCCUUUGUGCCUCUUUUUAAUUUAAAAUUUUAUUAAAUGCAAUUCACUCACUUUGAAAUUGAUACCAUAAACUACGAGGUUUUGAUCCCUCAUUUUCAUGUUGGUAUGUAGGCAUAAGUCUGAAGAUCUUGUCAAACACAAAAAUAUAAUUAAUGAGUUCUUUUCUCAUCUCCUCACUCUAUUUAUUGCAAACAUAAUUUUAUACUAAAACACAUGCACAUAUAAAAAAGGGCUUCCUAGGAGUACCUAUGACACUUUGGGUGCUAACACCUUCCCUCUGUGUAACCAACCCCUUUACCUGUAAUCUCUCGCAUUUUAUUAGUUUUGAUUUGAAAACUUCUUAUCUUUGGGUUUUGUUCGUACUUUUCCCUUUUCCUUUGGAAACAAUAAAAUCACGGUGGCGACUCUGGUUUUAUUGACGUUAAGUUUAUCCAUAACUUAAUGGUCAUGAAUUUACCGCUACAGACUCUUGCUGAGGCUAACAACAACGUAAGGGUCGAAACUGAGAAUCCAGCUGAGACUGCCACCCUUUUGAGUCCCCAAAAAAUUGAUGAGUUUCACGACACAUAUCAAAUUCAAGAUCCUUCAACCGCUGUUGGCAAAGGUAAUACAACCGCUACUAUUGGCGAAACCCUUUUGACUACUACUAGCAAUCUGAUUGGAAAAGAAAAAUCAAAUCCCCUAUCCUCUAAAAAAAUUCCCCCCUUGUGUAAGACAAAAGUUCCAAUGGUACUCUUUCUCUAGAGAAGAUUCUAUCUAUGAAGCAUCAGAAUCUAGCAGAGACAUUGAGAAGGCUAUAGAAGCAUCGCCAAGCAUCGACUGAUGUUCAACCCUCUGGCUCGACUGCCAUGCCUAUUCCAGAAAUGGAUGCUUCCGUCAUUCUCAAACUCCAACAGUGAAAAACCUAUUUGUUUGAGCGUGAAAUUUUGGUCGUCGUCGCAGAGGAAGAGGCCUUGGGGGUCGACGUCCUCAAGCUUCUUGACGAGCUUUCUCAACAUAAAGUUCCUGCUCCUGUGGCCAAAUAUCUGAUUGAAUUUGAAGCCUUCUUCACUCACCUUGUCAAAUACCUCACUCUUCAUCGGCACGUUGACUUCCAAAUUAAAACGAAGCUCAACGAGAUGAGACGAGAAUGGGACUUCAGCGAAAUUUAUGAAAGGAAACACAAUAAUUUUGAGACUAAGAAGCAAGAGCAUUUCAACUAACGACAAGCCUUUGACCAGAAAAUCUCAAACUAUCAGGCUCAAAUGGCUGAACUCGCCAAGAAAAUUGCUGAAGUCGAGAAACAAAAAGCCUCAUUAGAUUCAACUGAGACCCUGCCGGCUCAAGAUGUUAUUGAUUAGGAAGUUUUUAAAGGAAUUUCACAUGGUGAGAAGGCCUUUGAGAUUAAAGAAAGUAUUGACCAACUGCAGGAGAAGAGGGACCUCCUCGACAACAGGAUUGAUCAUGAGAAGACUCUUUUUGAAGACUUUAAGUCUAGAUUUCCUGCCUAAUGUAUUUCUCUGUCGAGACUAUGUAACUCCGCUUGGAGAUUCUGAAUGCCAUCUUGGCUUUUUCCAUUUUAGCUUUGAUCAUUAAUGACAAGUUUUAUUACCUUUUGAUUUGAAUCUCUUGGAGCAUAGGUUUAUAUUUUUUCAAAUAUUUCCCAUUUACCCUUAAGAUUUGUCGACCAAUACCCAACUCUUGAAUUUCAUAGGCAUUAUUCGUAAACGUUUGGAUUACUUGAAAUGGUCCCUCCCGAUUUGGUGACUAUUUUCCUAAAGUUUGAUCUCUUUGAUCCAUAGGUAAGAUCACCUUCCAAAAGUAAUCAUUUAUUGCAAAAGUUUCUAUCUUGGCCUUUUUAUUAUAUGCUUUAGCCACACACACUUUUUGUCGUAACAACAUGUCUAUUGCAGCCAACCUUUCUUCGUCUAAAUAGGUCUUUUCGUCGAACAUCAGUCUCCAAUAUUAUUCUGACGGAUUAUCGUUUUUCCGCUACACUCUAACUGAUUAUAAACGGAUUUUUGCUGGCAACACGACAUCAUGCCCAAAUGUCAAACAGAAAGGCGUUGAAUUGGUUACCUCCUUUGGGGGUGUUCGACAAGCCCAUAGAAUUUGAUCUAAUGUUUUAUGCCAAUUCUUAGGUUUCUUGGAAACGUUUUUUUAUUAACCCGAUUAUCACUUUAUUGGUUUCCUCAACUUGGCCAUUUUCUUGGGCGUAGUAAGGUGUGGAAGUAACCAAAUUGAAUCCUAUUUCAGCAGCAAACUCUUGCAUCUUUUGACAAACAAAAACUGAACCUUGAUUUGUAGUAAAGAUUUCAGGAAUUCCAAACCUAUGCACAAUAUGUUUUUGAAUGAAUUCAAUCACAUCCUCUUGAUCCAUUUUUAUCAAAGGGAUAACUUCUAUCCAUUUUGUGAAAUAGUCUAUACCUACCAGGAUAAAUUUUUGUUGUUUCAACGAGGCUGGUCGAAUCUCACCGAUUACAUCUAACGCCCAACCUCGAAAGGGUCGGGGAUUGAUGAUUACAUGCAACUCGUUGACUGACACAUGUUGAAUGCUUGCAUGUAUCUGACAUUCUUGACACACUUUGGAAAAGUCAAUGCAGUCUUUUGACACACUUGGCCAGUAAAUACCUUGUCAAAAUAAUAACCAUUUCAUUUUAUGGCCGUCUUAGUGAGCUCCACAUAUUCCACUAUGUACCUCAGACAUUGCCAAGUAUGCUUCAGUAUCCCUAAGAGAAACACUCCUUCUAGAGUCUUUUUCAAUAACUCAUUUCACAGACAUACAUAACUUAACGCUCUAUACUUGAUUUUCUUGUUAGUGUUUCCGACUGGAUUUUCUAAGCACUCCAUGAUUAGUUUUCUCCAAUCUGAUUGUGACAAAUUGUCAAUGGCAAAAACUUUAUGUAUUUCAUAAUUUUCAAAUUUUCCAAAAAUUUUACUUGACAUCUCCCCCCCAUUUUUUAGGAUUGCCAUUUUGGGUGACGACGAGACAUUCGACGUCAUCUUUUCUUUCACCUUCAUAAAGUCAUUGAGCCUAUCUUUUGACAAUUUAUACCCAGAUGCAAUUUGUGCUAAAUCGUUAGCUUCUUGAUUCUUUAUUCUAGGCACAUGUGUGAUGCUGACAACCUUGAAGUACUCUAAUAGGCGUUUCUCCAUUGCGAAAUACAACAUUAGAUUUUAUUUAAUGCACUUAUAUUCUCGUUGGAUUUGUUUGAUCACUAGCUCAAAAUCACCCUUUAUCUCGACCUUCUUGGCUUCUAAAUCCCUCAAGAUUUUAAGGCCAGUGAUUAGGGAUUCGUAUUCUGCCUCAUUAUUGGAACAAUUUACGUCGACUUUACAUUUGAACUUCGUCAGAAUACCUUGUAGGGAUAAUAUUAAGAUCCCAACAUCUGUUUCGUUUUUGCGACUUGACCCGUCGAAGUAUAACCUCCAUGGGUUCGUGUCGACCAUGUUUAGUGAUGGUUCGACUAUUGCAUGGUCUACAAUAAAAUCUGCCAAUAUUUGGCCUUUCAUAGACCUCAAAGGCAUAUAUGUUAAAGAAAAUUCAGUUAAUGCUAGUGCCCAUUUCCCAAUUCGACUAUGUAGAAUAGGUUUAGACAACAUAUGUUUAAUAACAUCAAAAUGAGACGAAGCAUAAACAUCAACUGGUUUUAUAUAUUGCUUUAAUUUUAUACAUUAGAAGUACAAUCAUAUGCAUAUUUUUUCAAUCAUAUUGUACCUAGUUUCAACAUCUAUUAAAAUUCGACUGAGGUAAUAAAUGGGUCUUUCGACACCACUGUCAUCCUCUUGUGCUAAGAUACUUCCUAUGGUUGUAUCUGACGCAGCAAUAUAUAACCUCAUAUUCUUAUUCAUACUAGGUGGAAAUAAAAUGAGAGGCUUUGUGAGGUACUCUUUGAUGGCGUUGAAAGCCUCUUGUUGCUCUCGUUUCUAGUGAAAAUCACUUUCCUUCUUGAUCUUGAGCAAUGGCGAGAAAACCUUUGUCUUGCCACUUAGAUUUGAUAUAAAUAUUCUCAAGAAAUUUAUCUUUCCUAACAAAGACCGGAGCUGCUUCUUUGUCGAAUGAGUCUAGAGAUCCAAAAUUGCUUUUAUUUUGUUUUGGUUGAUCUCGAUGCCUUUUUGUUGCACCAAGAAACCCAAGAAGUCUCCUGCAUGUACACCAAAAGCACAUUUUAAUGGAUUCAUUUUUAAUCCAUAUUUUCUCAUCCUCUCAAAUGAGCGUCGAAGAUGGUCCAAAUGACCAUUUUCAGAUGAAUACUUUAUCACAAUAUCAUCAAUUUAUACCUGCAUAAUAUUUUCAAUAAAAUCAUGGAAUAUGGCAUUCAUGGCUCUAUGAUAGGUUGCUCUGGUGUUUUUUUAAACCAAACAGCAUCACAACCCUUUUGUAUGUUCCCAAAGCUCUGGGGCAUCGAAAUGCCAUCUUGAGAACAUCAUUUUCUGCUAUGAGAAUCUUAUUAUAGCCAGAAUAACCAUCAAGCAUACUUAAGUAUUCAAAACCUGUGGCUGAAUCGACUAAGAUUUCUCUGGCCACUGGGAUCGAAUACUAAUAUUUUGGAGUUGCAUUGUUUAAGUCUCUAAAAUCUAUACAGACUCUAAGUGUUCCAUUUUUCUUGAUAACAGGUACUAUGUUGGCUAACCAUUUGACGUACCUUGCAGUUCUGAUGAACCUGUUGUAGCAGUAAAUUCAUGACCAUUAAGCUAUGGAUAAACUUAACGUCAAUAAAACCAGAGUCACCACCGCGCUUUUAUUGUUUCCAAAGGAAAAGGGAAAAGUACGAACAAAACCCAAAGAUAAGAAGUUUUAAAAUCAAAACUAAUAAAAUGCGAGAGAUUACAGGUAAGGGGGUUGGUUACACAGAGGGAAGGUGUUAGCACCCAAAGUGUCCUAGGUACUCCUAGGGAGCCCUUUUUAAUGUGUGCAUGUAUUUUGGUAUAAAAGAUAUUUGAAGAGUGCGUGGAUGAUAAAAGAAUUCAUUGAUUAUAUUUUUAUGUUUGACAAGACCUUCGGACUUGUGCCUACGUACCAACAUAAAAAUGAGGGAUCAAAACCUCAUAGUUCGUGGUAUCAAUUUGAAAAUGAGUGAAUUGCUUUUAACAAAAUUUUAAUAGAAAGGGGGCACAAAGGGCCAAAAAUUUGAAUGAGUGUUAUUUCUUUUUGUCUUUUGAAAUUUUAAUUCAAUAUGAUUAGAUUUAUUUAUAGGUUUAAUUUAAGAAAAGGUUUGAAAAUUCAUUGGCAUAAGGUCAAAGUUUCUAAUCAUUUAAACAGAGUCUAAGUUUGAAAUCACAAGUAAAGAAAGUUUUUUAAAAGGGGGAGAUAUUUUGAAAUUUAAGAAGUGGGAGAAGAUGAAGAGGCUAACGUAAGCAUAAAAUUAAAAGUUAAGAGUUGAAAAGAUCUGACCAAUGGGAUGCAAUCCAACAGACAAGAAUGCUAUAUAGAAAAUGCAUUUUCCCUUUGGACUUUGAAUCAAGCAAUAAUCAAUCAAGAAAUUAGCAAUAUCAGACACCAUGGAGAUCAAGGCAUCAAAUAAAGACAGCCACAUCCAAGCAAGAAAAUCCCAUAGCUAGUAGUCUUCUUUGUCUUCUCAUGUAUCAGAUGAAAUACUCCUUGAUUAACUCAGAAUAAGGCAUUAGACACAAGAUCAAAAUAACAGUUGCAUCAAGACCAUGUAGCAGAUGAGUUCAAAUAAAUCCCAAUACUUGCACCAGAUAAAGGCCCAAUUCACAAUAACUUGGUCUCAAAAUGUUGGCAUUGGCCAAGUCCUUUGCAUAUGGAAUGCUGCCUAAUCCUAAGUCCAAAAGUUCAAAUCAAGCUCAACAGUCCACUCAAACAUUUUUUAGGGUUUUUGUUUUUUAUUAGGUAAUUUAAGGUCCUAAGACCAUAAAAAGAAUCAAAAUACACAAGUAAAUAUAUACAAUCACAAUAUAUGGCUCAAAUGAGCAAAGUGAAAAUGACAUAAACAUAAACAAGUUAAAUGAAAUGGAAAUGGCAAUGAAUGGUAAAUGACUUAGAAGUUAAAUUACAUAAAGUAAAUGACUUGAAAGUAAAAGCAGUAUUAAUAAGAGUUAGUCAAAUGUUAGUCAAGGUUAAUUGAAUGUUAGUGAUAUUUUGUUUUUCAAUUGAUUAAGUCAUUCUUUGGAGAAUACUCAACCAUCUAUUCACAAGUAUGGAUCCUUGAACUAAGACAUCUUCCAUAGGAAAGAAAAAAGGCCAAGUUUCUGCACAAUACCAUGAAAGAUGGGAAACUGACAAUCUCACUUACUAGAAUGAUAUGCCUUUAGGGUCAAAAUUUAGCUUUAUGUUAAGCAAUCAUAAUUGGACUUAUGUAGAAGUCACAACCAUCUGAGGUCGGGCAAUAAAAAUUUAGGUGUUAAUGCAUGUUAGAGAUUUGAUAUAAUGGACCACACUCCUAAAACAUACCACACACUAAAAGAAAAGAUCAAAAGAAAUGGACCUAUCUCAUCCAUAUUUGUAUUGGUUUAUCUGACACAAGGUCACUGAUGAACCAAUUAGCCUUAAGAUAUUGAGACUUCAUUGUUCUAUGAAAGGGAUGGGAAAAGAAUAGGGGUGAAGAAUGAAGGGGGGGGGGGAGAGGGGGUGAGAGAAACAAAAAUUGGUCAUGGGAGGAAUUUUACCAAAUUAAAAUCAUUCUUUCAUUUUGGGAGAUGAAAUAUAUAUUUCAUCAAUCCCCUAAAUCCAAUGAUUUUAAUCUAAUAAAAAUCAAAUCAAUCUUGACCAAGGCCCUAACAAAUAGUCAAACAUCACAAGACCAUAAAAAUGACUCAACAUAAUUUUUACACAAUUAAUCAAUUAAAAAAUCAAAUUAAAAUGCAUUAAAAUACAAAUUUGUUUGGUCAAAACCUAAAACCUCUUCAAAACACCAAAUAAAUGGCCAAGAGAUUUAUCAUAGGUCAAGCAAGGUCAAAGGACCUUAGACAAAAAAUUUCAUGAUUUUUAAAAAGUUAGAAGUAUUUUUAAACAAUUAAAAAUAUGCACAAAAACAUUUAAUUCAUGAAAAAUAUCAAAAUUAAUCCAAAAAAUUAUUUUAAUUCAGAAAAUGAAGAGAAAAAUAUUUAAAGAUUUUUGGCGAAAGUCCCAUAUUUUUUGGAUUAAAAAUGAAAUUAAUAUAAAUUAAACAAAAUAAAGGGAUUAAAUGAAAAAUCAGAAAAUAAAAAGAAAUUAAAAAAAACAAGGGCCAUCAGAUCUCCCUCAUUAAUUGAGGUGGCAAAUCUGAUGGUCAAGCGCGCGCUUCCAUCCAACACCUCAGUCAAUGUGUGUACACACGUGGUAUGCAAAAGCAAGGGCUAAGAUUAAAACGUUGAACCAAUAUCAGAUGGUUGGAACCUUGCCAACACACCACCGGAGCCCUAGCUCCGGUCAUCUUCCCCGGUGAGGGCCACCAGACUGGUCCAACCUAAACUUCAUGAAAAAUGGAAAACAAGGACACUAAUUUGAAUUGAAAAUGCUCAGGAUCACAAAUCUAGCCUCAAUUUUCUCUAAUUCCAAGUAUAAAAUAAGAUACAUGGAUUUGAAUUUUGAGGAUCAUGAACUGAGUUGCUUCAAUUUGACCUCAAAGCAACUCAAUCUUCUUACCUAUAUUGGUAGGACUUCAGCCAACCAAAAAUCACAAAGAAUAGUGAAGAAUUGAGAGAGAAUCGAAGAGAUGAAGUUUCUGAAUUUUCACCUUCAAGUAGCUUCAAAUUUGCUUGAUCUUGAUUUGGAUUUGCUUGAUUCCUCUUCCUCUUGCUUGCAGUGACCAAUUUAGAUGGAAAGGGCAAUGCAAUCUUGAAGUUUGAAUUUCAAAACAAAAGGUGAAAUUCAAACUCGAUUUCAAUGAAAUCCUCAAAAAAUUUUAUGGAAUGAGGGGUCUGAGUUGUCUUGGCAAAGCUUGGGCAAGGUGCUCAUGCAUUUCUGAGCUCAUAGCACUUGUAUUUAUAGCCUUUUCAAAUGCUUUCCACACAAUUCCUUUAAAAAUCCAAAAAUAACAAUUACCUCAUGCAAGCUUGCAUGAACGUGUACAAAGCCUAAAGAAUGAUUGGAAUUGGUCCAAAAUCAUGCACAUGUGAUGCUGAAAGCAAUUCAUGAAUCCAUGCAAUGUAGAAUAGAAAUUGGUCAUGAGAAUCUUCCAAAUGGGACCAUUCAUUACACCCAUGCACAAGUCCUUCAGUUUUGAUCCAAAUGAGAUGAUCUUGGACUUUUUGGAAAGGUGAGACUAAGGGGGACAACUUUCAUGUUGAAAACUUUUCCAUUUGAAGCAUAGAUAAUGAUGCAUUCUAAGAUGGAUGUUUGGAAAAUCAAACAUACUUGAAAAUUUUCUAAGUACCAAGUCAAAUGUUCACUUCUUCCACCUUGAAUAACUUUUGCUAUAGAUUUCAAAUGGAAAAAUUUCCUUCAUAGAAGUUGUAUCUAUAUCAAACCUCUUCAAUUUGGUCACAAAUUUGACCUCAUUUGAAUUUGGCAUGAAGGAGUUAUGCAUUUUAGAAGUUGGGGAAAAUCACUUGUUUAAUGGUAAUGACCCAAAAUGACCUAUAAUGUUUCCUCUUGGCACAUGAAUUUUAAAGUUUAAUUUGAACUUAUUCCACACAUAAACAUUGAAUAUGACAUCUUGAAUUUGAUCAUGGAGCUUGAAUGGCUUUCAUAUCAUAAAAAGGAGCAAGUUAUGGUCUUGGGAAGUUGACCUCCUAACUAGGGUUAGGACAAAAUGACCUAUAAUCUUUCACCAUAAAAAAUGCCUUUCCAAGAAAAACUAGAUCUUGACUUAAACAUUAAAGUUAUUUUAAAUGUAACUAUGAGUAACUUUGCUCUUGGAGUCAUUUUCAUAUGACAAAAAUUGUAGGAGAUAGGAUCUAGGGAACCCCAGUUUUGACCAGUUGACUUUCUCUGGUCAACCACCAUGAACCAUCUUGCUAGCUUGACAUUCUCUUGAUUUUUGGGACUCAUGGAGGAUCAUAUAUGAUGUCUAGAGCUAAUGUGAACCAUAUCUUGAUUAGUCUCCUUACAUUGAGGGUCUUAAACCCUAGAUGUAAAUUUGAUGAGGCAUUAGUGGACACACACACACACUACCUACAAAAGCAACAAACUUUACAUUGACAUAUUUUUGGUAUUUUGGUUAGUAAGAAUAAUGAAAAAUAAAGUAUGAUACAAUCGUGAUGUGCUUGGUGAUCUCUCUCAAUGUAAACCCAAUGAAUGGGGGGUAAGGAUGAUGCCAAGGUGUGAUCCCAAAGCCAAUGCAUAUGAUGAGAUAGCAUGAGGGAUAUUAGGGUCUAAAUUGGGGUCUUACUGUAAGUUAGGAAUGAGCUUAAGAGGGGGGGGUUGUAACACCCUUCUAAAAUACCCCAAUAAUUAAUUAAAACAACAAAUAUAAAUCAGAGUAGAUAUGCAAUUAAGGAUGUCACACUUGACACUUCACACCAUUCACCAAAAUAGUUUGUCAUGCUCAUUUAUUAAUCAAAAUGAAAUAUUGCACAAUUCGCAGCGGAUAUGCAACCAUGUAACACAUUACAUGUAAAACUGUUCAACAACCACAAAUGAAAACAAAGUAAACAUCCCGUCCCGAUGUUACAUCUACCGGAGCAUGACCCACUAAGGAACUACACUAGACUCCAAGCACUAGCUUCUACUCAAUCACUGCUCGUUACCUGAAACAUAGUUGUAAGGUAGUCCUCAAUCGAUAUAAUAAGCAUUAUAAAAUAUAUGUAAUGCUAAGUAAAUUAACACAUUUCAUCACCCUAAUCAUAUCACACAUUCAGCACCGGCAACAUCAAUCAUAAUCAUACUCACAACAACACAACACAACACAAAACACACGUAUAAUAUUGGAAUACAUCCAUUCAUAUUAUACGCCAUACAUACAUUAUGCAAUGAGACUCCAUGCAUGCGGUACCGGACUAUUCGUGAACACAUAGUUCAACCUCCCCGAUCAAACCCAGAUACGCUACAAGCUCACUAGUCCCACUCAUUUGAGACCUAGUGACUUACUCACUAAUUCCUCACCAUGGGAAUUAGCUACCACCCCAAGGGCUAUGCUUGCACGCUAAAUCACCUAGCAUGCAAACAUCAACAAUAAUCCACAAUAACUCACUCACUAAUUCCUCACCAUGGAAUUAGCUACCACCAUAAGGCCAUACUAUGCACCGCCAAAUCACCGCUACAUGCAACCAUCAACAACAAUCUACAAUGGACAUAUGCUCACACUCUAAGCCAUAACAAUCCAUCCACAAUGCAUACAUACAGAUACAUUCACAGCAUUAGCAUACCAUCAUACAUCAUCAACAUAUUUAUCACAGAAUCAUUAUUCAUAUCAUGCCAAAUAAUAAAUCACAGUAUUAGCACACUCUACUAAUAUCUAUACUGCUCAAAACAACGGGAAAUGAUCUACUAUAUCAUACACCAAUAUAGGCCAAACGUCAAAUAUGUACACAUAUUUGAUAACAUUUCCACUUUCACACAACAGGUAACCGGUUAACGCCCUGGGUUAACCGGUUAACGCAACACAGAACACGCUCCUGGCACUUUAACAGUGUUAACCGGUUAACACCCUGGGUUAACCGGUUAACGCAAGACAGACAGCAAUAUUUCUCAAUUCAUAACAGUGUUAACCGGUUAACACCCUGGUUAACGGUUAACGCAAGAACAGAAAGCUGUUCCUGCGCUAACACGAAGCAGAAUGCAGAAUUCUCCGCAUUUUCCGCCGUUGGAGGACUUCCGGACCUCCGAUUCCAAUUCCGUAAAAAGCUACACGUUCGGAAAAUCACAACUCACCCAAAUAUAGAUUCAAUUACAGCUUAAUCAUAACUUAUCAUCACAAUUUUUUCAGCACUCAUCAUCCCAAUUAGGGUCAAUUCAACGGCUUAUUACUACCCAUUACAUGUUAACCCAUAAUACCAUAAACGACGAUAAACCCCCCUUACCUGAGUUAAUCCGGCAAUCCUUUAGCUUCAAGCUUUUCCCUUCUUCAACCCUCGUUCUCUUGUUCUUCCUCCUUGCCCUUUUCUCACUUUCUGUCGCUUCUCUGGUUUUCACGUGAAAAACCCUUUUUACCAAAUGGAACUUAUAUAUAUUCCAACUUUAUUAUUCCAAUAAUAAUAAUUCCAAAUAAUUCCAAUAAUAAUCCAAUUAUUUAAUUAAAUUAAUAAAUAUACUAUUAACUUAUUUAAAUAAUUAUCAUAUUUUAUACGGGGUGUUACAACUCUCCCCCACUAAAAGAGUUUCGUCCUCGAAAACAUACCUCAAGCGAAUAACUCUGGAUAAGACUCCUUUCAUCUGACUCUCAAGUUCCCAAGUCACAUUGCCACCUGCUGGUCCUCCCCAAGCUACCUUUACCAAAGCAAUCUCUUUACCCCGCAACUGCUUCAACUCUCGAUCCUCGAUCCUCAUAGGUGAUGUUUCAACAGUCAGGUUAUCUCUCACCUGUACAUCAUCUACUUUGACCACAUGCGACGGAUCAGAAUGCCCCUCAUACUAGCACACAUGAAAACCUCAUGCAAUUCGCAAGUGACGGCGGUAAAGCGAUACGAUAGGCUACCUCCCCUAUCCUCUCCAAAAUCUGAUAAGGACCAAUAAAUCGAGGUGUCAACUUCUUCGACUUCAAAGCUCGACCAACCCCAGUUACCGGAGUAACACGAAGAAACACAUGAUCUCCCUCUUGAAACUCAAGUGACUUCCUCCUCUUGUCGUGAUACUCUUCUGACGACUCUGAGCAAUCCUCAUCUUCUCCUGAAUCAUCUUAAUCUUUUUCGUAGUUUGUUGAACAAUCUUCGGUCCACCACAACACUCCACCGGACUCAUACCAACAUAAAGGUGUCCGACAUCUCCUACCAUACAAAGCUUCAAACGGUGCCAUACCAAUGCUCGAAUGAAAACUAUUGUUGUAGGUAAACUCAAUCAAAGGUAAAUAACAAUCCCACGCACCUCCCUUUUCCAAACACAAGCCCUCAAAAGAUCCUCCAUGACUGAAUCGUCCUCUCAGUCUGACCAUCAGUCUGCGGAUGAUAUGCAGAACUCAAUCUCAGCUUAGUUCCAAAGCCUCUUGCAAACCUUCCCAGAACUUCGAUGUAAAUCUAGGAUCUCUGUCCGAAACAAUACUCGACGGAAUACAUGCAAACUUACAAUCUUCUCAAUAUACAACUCAGCUAAUCUCUCUAACGGAUAAUCCAUUCUGAUCGCGAAAUGAAAUGAGCCGAUUUUGUCAAUCUGUCAACAUCACCCAAUAGCUUCAAAAUUCUUAAUUGUCCUCGGUAAACCAGAAACAAAAUCCAUACUGAUACUAUCCCACUUCCACUCUGGAAUAGCCAACGGUUUGCAUUAGCCCAGACGGCUUCUGAUGCUCAAUCUUUGACUUCUGACAAGUCAAACAAGAAUAAACAAAACUCGCAAUUUCUUUUUUCAUUCCCGGCCACCAAAUAACUUUUUCAAAUCAAGAUACAUCUUCGUAGCCCCAGGAUGAAUACUCAGGCCACUACGAUGUCCUUCCUCAAGAAUACUCUUCUUAAGUUCUACACACUCCGGAAUACACACCCGAUUACCAAAUUUCAAAACCAUUCUCAUCAACUCUGAAUUCACCACCUUGACCUUGAUUCACUAGAGUCAACUUAUCAACCAAAAGCACAUCGGAUUUCUGACCCUCUCUAAUCUCAUCCAGAAUACCACUCGUUAACUUCAACAUUCCCAAUUUAACACUAUUGUGAGUACUCUCACACACCAAACUCAAGUCUCUAAACUGCUCAAUUAAAUCCAAUUCCUUAACCAUUAACAUAGACAUAUGCAAUGAUUUCCGACUCAAUGCAUCAGCCACUACGUUUGCUUUACCCGAUGGUAAUUCAAACCAAAGUCAUAAUCCUUCUAGAAACUCUAACCAUCUCCUCUGUCUCAUAUUCAGCUCUUUCUGAUCAAACAAAUACUUUAAACUCUUAUGGUCACUGAAAACCUCAAAUCUUGACCCGUACAAGUAAUGCCUCAUAAACUUCGAACAAAUACCACAACUGCCAACCUCUAAAUCGUGUGUCGGAUAGUUCCUCUCAUGAACCUUCAGUUGUCUCGAACAUAAGCUACAACCUGCUUAUUCUGGCAUCAAACACCACCCCACCCAACAAUGAAGCAUCACACAAGUAACCUCAAAUGGUUCUGACGGACUUGGUAAUAUCAGAAUAGGAGCAGUAGUCAACCUUCUCUUUAACUCUGUGGAAACCUUCUUCACAUUUUGAGUCCCAAACAAACGCUUGCCCCUUUCUAGUCAACAUCGUUAACGAGGAUGCACUUAGAAAAUCCCUCAAUGAAUUUCCUAUAAUAACACUGCAAGUCCAAGAAAACUCCUUAUCUCAAAAAACUGACUUCGAGCUUCCAUUAGAUACCGCUUCUAUCUUAGAAGGAUCAACAGCAAUACCACCCCUUGAAAACCACCAUGACAAAAAACUAACCUCUUCUAACCAAAAUUCACACUUGGACAGUUUAGCAAAUAACUUCUUUUCUCGUAGAACUCCUAAAACUACCACUCUCAAAUGUUCACAUGCUCUUUCUCAGAUUUCGAUACACUAAAAUAUCGUCAUAAACACCACAAACAAACUUGUCUAGGUACGGAUGGAAAAUCCUAUUCAUAUACUCCAUAAAUACCCAGGCGCAUUAGUCACACCAAAAGGCAUUACAGAAUACUCAUAAGUCCAUACCUUUGUUCUGAAAGCAGUCUUCUGAAUAUCCUCAGUUUUCACACGUAUCUGAUGAUACCCCCGAUCUCAAAUCUAUUUUGCUGAACACACUCGCACCAACCAACUGAUCCAUCAAAUCAUCAAUCCUCGCAAAGGAUACCGAUUUUUGAUCGUACUUUAUUCAGUGCCUGUAGUCCACACACAACCUCAUAGUACCUUCUUUCUUCUUAACCAAUAACACUGGUGCAUCCCGUGGCCCACUGACCUCGGACGAAUAAAUUUCUUAUCCAACAAAUCUUCCAACUGACUUUUCAAUUCAGUUAACUCAACAGCAGACAUACGGUACGGAGCCGUCAAUAUCGGCCUAGUACAGGUACCAAAUCAAUCGAGACUCAACUUCACGCUGGCGGUAAUUCAUUCACUUCUUCAGGAAACACAUCAGGAAAAUCACACACCACAGCUAGAUCGCAAAUCGCCAGUUUAUCUUUAGCCUCCAAAGUCGCUAACAGCAUAAACAACUCUGCCCCAUCUGCUACUGCCAUUAUUCACCUGCCUUGCUGAUAGAACAAACUCUUUCCUUCCUCCAUCUCAGGAAAGAUCACAGUCUUAUCAAAACAGUUGAUAUAAACUCGGUUAAACACCAACCAGUUCAUACCCAGGAUAACAUCAAUCUGCACUAGUGGAAGACACACGAGGUCCAUUCCAAAGUCUCUACCAAAAAUACUCAAAGGACAAUUUAAACAAACUGAAGUAGUGUCACUGAACCCUUCGCAAGGAGUAUCAAUCACCAUACUCCCAUGCAUUCAGAUAUCUCUAAUUUAAGUUCACAGCACAAUCCAAAGAUAUAAAGGAAUGAGUCGCACCUGUGUCAAUAAUAGCUACAAGAGGAAACCAUUAAUAUACACGUACCUCGGAUCAACGAUCAUCUGUAGAGGUCUCAGAACCCGAUAAAGCAAAGACCUUGCCUCCCGACUGGUUCUCUCUCUUCGGCUUAGGACACUGUGACUGAUAUGACCCACCUCUCCACAGUUGAAACAAGUCACAGUCUUCAACCGGCACUCUGCAGCCAAGUGACCACUUUUCCACACUUGAAACACUUCUUCUUAGUACUGGUACACUCAUGGAUACGUGUUCAGCCUGACCACAUCUGUAACACUUAGCAGGGGCACUGGAGUCUCCCCCACUAGGUCUCUUCAUCCCACUCUGUCUCUGGAACCCUUGCCAACUGCAUACGGUUUUCCACGAUCAUUCUGAUCUUGCCUUUCCUAUCAACCCUCUGCUGAUAGCUCUCCGCUCUGGCCUUGGUAUCCUGUUCAAAAAUCCUGCAACAGUCAACCAAGUCAGAAAACACUCUAAUCCGCUGAUACCCAAUAGCCUGCUUGAUCUCGGCGUAACCCGUUCUCAAACUUCACACAUUUUGAAAAUCCCCAGUAGCCUCAUCAUAGGGAGUGUAAUACUUCGACAGCUCUGUGAACUUAGCAACAUACUCAGUAACAGACCGGUUGCCGCUGCUUCAAUUCUAAGAACUCUAUCUCUUUCUUUCCUCUGACAUCCUCUGGAAAGUACUUCCUCAGGAAUCUCUCUCUGAACACCGCCCAAGUGAUCUCAGCAUUCCCAGCAGCUUCCAACUCAGUGCGGGUAGCAACCCACCAUCAUCUGCUUCCUCUGACAGCAUAUGCGUACCGAACCUGACCUUCUGGUUAUCGGCACACUCAGCCAUCGGAAGAUCCUCUCGAUCUCCUUCAACCACUUCUGAGCACCAUCUGGAUCGUAUGCUCCCUUAAACAUUGGGAUUGUUCUUCUGGAACUCACUCAGUUGACGAGCAGCUCCAAUCCACCACAUUCGGAUUCCCUCCAAGUACUCCAGCUAGCAUACCCAGAGCCUCAGCAAUCGCAGCAUCCUUACCUCUUCCAGCCAUUUCUAUUCUGAAAACCCAACAAGCUAAAACAAUAAGUACUGAUAGGGUUACACACACACCUUCACGUACAGGGAAACAAAAUAAUUACGACUCGACUCGACCGACUAUGUUCUGAUACCCACUAAUGUAACACCCUUCUAAAAUACCCCAAUAAUUAAUUAAAACAACAAAUAUAAAAUCAGUAGAUAUGCAAUUAAGGGUGUCACACACUUGACACUUCACACCAUUCAAAAAAGUUUGUCAUGCUCAUUUAUUAAUCAAAUGAAAUAUUGCACAAUUCGCACAGCGGAUAUGCAACCAUGUAACAUUACUGUAAAACUGUUCAAAACACAACCACAAAAUGACAAAGUAAACAUCCCGUCCCGAUGUUACAUCUACCGGAGCAUGCCACAAGAACUACACUAGACUCAAGCACAAUAGCUUCUACUCAAUCACCCUACACUGUCAAUUACCAUUCGAAACAUAGUUGUAAGGGUGAGUUCCUCAAUCGAUAUAUAGCAUUAUAAAAUAUCAUGUAAUGCUAAGUAAUUAACACACAUUUCCAUCACCCUAAUCAUUACAACAUAUCCAGCACGGCAACAUCAAUCAUAACAUCAUCACACAAACACAACACAAACAAAAACACAAACAAACACACACAACACUAUAAUUUGGAUACUCCAUUCAAUUAUACGCCAUACAUACAUUAGCAAUGAGACUCAUGCAUGCGGUACCGACUAUUCGUGAACACAUGUUCAACCUCACCGAUCAACCCAGAUACGGCUACCAAGCUCACUAGUCCCACUCAUUUGAGACCUAGUGACUCACUCACUAAUUCCUCACCAUGGAAUUAGCUACCACCCCAAGGCUAUGCUAUGCACGCUAAAUCACCUAGCAUGCAAACAUCAACAACAAUCACAAUAACUCACUCACUAAUUCCUCACCAUGGGAAUUAGCUACCCACCAUAAAGGCCAUACUAUGCACGCCAAAUCACCUAGCAUGCAACCAUCACAACAAUCUACAAUGGACAUAUGCUCACACUCUAAGCCAUAAACAAUUCAUCCACAAUUGCAUACAUAACAGAUACAUUCACAGCAUUAUGCAUACCAUCAUACAUCAUCAGCAUAUUUAUCACAAAAUCAUAUUCAUAUCAUGCCAAAUAAUAAAUCACAGUAUUAGCACACUCUACUAAUACCUAUACUGCUCAAAACAACGGGAUGAUCCCUACUAUAUCAUAACCCAAUAUAGGCCAAACGUCAAAUAUGUACACAAUAUUUGAGUAACAAUUUCCACUUUCCAAACAGUGUUAACCGGUUAACGCCCUGGGUUAACCGUUACGCCAACACAGAACACGCUUCCUGGCACAUUUAACAGUGUUAACCGGUUAACACCCUGGUUAACCGGUUAACGCAAGACACAACAAUAUUUCUCAAUUCAUAACAGUGUUAACCGGUUAACACCCUGGGUUAACCGGUAACGCAAGACAGAAAGCUGUUCCUGCGCUAACACGAAGCAGAAUGCAGAAUUCUCCGCAUUUUCCGCCGUUGGAGGACUUCCGGACCUCCGAUUCCAAUUCCGUAAAAAGCUACACGUUCGGAAAUCACAACUCACCUAAAUAUGAUUCAAUUACAGCUUAAUCAUAACUUAUUCAUCACAAUUUUUUCAGCACUCAUCAUCCCAAUUAGGGUCAAUUCAACGACUUAUUACUACCCAUUACAUGUUAACCCAUAAUACCCAUUAAACGACGAUAAACCCCCUUAACCUGAGUUAAUCCGACAUCCUUUAGCUUCAAGCUUUUCCUUCUCUUCAACCCCUCGUUCUCUUGUUCUUCCUCCUUGCCCUUUUCUCACUUUCUGUCGCUUCUCUGGUUUUCACGUGAAAAACCCUUUUUACCAAAUGGAACUCCUUAUAUAUAUUCCAACUUUAUUAUUCCAAUAAUAAUAAUUCCAAAUAAUAUUCCAAUAAUAAUCCCAUUAUUUAAUUAAAUUAAUAAAUAUACUAUUAACUUAAUUUAAAUAAUUAUCAUAUUUUAUCGGGGUAUUACAGGGGUGAAUUAGGACUUUAUAAAUUUUAUUCUGAUUUGGUGGAUAAAGUUUCUUUUCUUUUCUGGAUUGAUAAGAUAAUGGAAGCGGUAAAGAGCAGAAAGUAAAGAACACCAGGAAUUAUACUGGUUCCCCUCACAAUUUGAGAGUACUCCAGUCCCCUUACAAUGUGUAAGAGAUUUUAUUAUUGUUAGAUCUCCUAAAGCAAUCCUCUAACUAAGUGAUCAAGAACAAUCCUCUUGAAAACUUAACUCACAAGAAAAGAAAACAAUCUUUCCUUUUCUUGACACUUAUAUCCAACAAUCCUGGAUGAUAAGCAACACACAUAAAACCAAACAAUCCUUGGUACUUAGCAUUUUCCAAAAUAAUUUUGAAUGAAUAUGAAUAAUUGUAUUGGACAAGACUUUAAUCAAUUGACUAUAAUCUUCUUCUCUUUCAAUAUGAAGGUUCAAGACAAAAUAAUCUCUAAGUGCUCAAGAGUACUUUUGAAGAAAUUGAUAUGAAAAUUCUAUUUCAAAAGUAUCUGAAUAUGAAAAUAUAGAUGAAAAUGAAUGUAUAGAGAUUUUGUAAAUUGAUUUGAAAGAGGUGAAUUUGAAAUGAAAAUAUAAAUAAUAUUUAUAGUAUGAAUGCAUCCCUUCAAACAUAACAUGGCAAUGGUUAAAAGAGAAAUAUGAGAUUUGUUGAUGAAAGGAUGUAAGGUUUUGCCAUGAAGAGUUAUGAUGAAUUGGUGCAAAAAGUGGUGAAAUAAAAUUUUAGAUUUUUCAAAAAUUUCCCAGCAUCAAUCGAUUGACUCUCAUAACCAAUCGAUUGACAUAACCAAAAAACUGAAAAAUACACUAAGAUCAAUCGAUUGAUAUACAACACCUAUCGAUUGGUCCAGCUUUGAAAAUGAAAAAUGCUAAAACAAAAAGUUUGAUCAAUCGAUUGCAAUAUAGCAUCAAUUGAUUGACACAGGCAAAACUUUGAAAAUUUUCUAAGUUAAAAAACUUUUGAAAAUGCAAUGUUUUAAACAUCAUUUUAAAACAAAAAAUCAUGAUAAAAAAAGUUUUAAAAUGAUCAUAUGAUGUAUGAUAAAAACUUUUGAGCACUAGGAGUAUAUUGUCAAGAAUUCCAUAUACCUUUACUAGAUCCAUGAAAAACUUGAGCAAUGUUAAAAUGAUCUUCCUUUUCAUUAUUUUGAUAUGGAGGGCUUGAUAUGUUGUCUUCAUCAAAAUCUUGUAGGAAGCUUGUCUUCACAUUCUCCCCCUUUUUGAUGAUGACAACCAAUCUUGAAGCUUGAACUCAUACUCCCCAUAUCUCUUGAAAGUACUCAAAUGAAAAACUCCCCCUGCAUAAAACAACACAAGCAAAACACACAUGCAUACAUCUUCUCCCCCUAUGUCAUGAUCAAAAAUAAGGGAAAAGAACACAAUAAAAUCUAAGAGAAAAAUAAACAUUAAAACACACAAAGAUUUUCAAAUGUUACAACACAAAGAACCAAAUAAGUGAUGCAUAACAUAAAACUAGUAUGACAAAAGACAGAAUUGAAGAAGAACAAGUCAUAAAAAUACCACAAGAGAUCCAAUCACUGAUUAUUGUUCCCAUGAUUUGACCCACCACCUUGAUAACCACAUUGAGAAAACUCCCAACGAUCCAUCCUUGAAGAUAAAUGACCAAUCUCGGUCAUAACAUCCGUUCGGAACCCUUGAAGAUAUUCCAUAAUCAUUUGAUUGGAGGGUUGAUCCAGUUGAUCUGCUGAAGGAGGGUUAAAGUCUUCAUCACUAUGGACUUCAGGUUGAGAUUCUUCAUCAUCAUUGUCUAGGUAUUUUACCUCAUGGGUCUGAUGAUUGUAGAUAACUCCCAUCUUCCUAUAGACCUGCUUGAUACUAAUCAUGAAGGAAGGUUUUUCCAAUGAGAAGCACAGUUCAUUCUCCAUGUUGAUGUUGAAAUGACGAAAAAUCUUGGUCAAGAAAUAUGCAUAUGGCAGACCCUCAACAUAUUCAUCAUGGGACAUCAUAUGAGAAAUAAUUGUAUGCCCCCAAUCAACACGAAAAUUAUUUUUGAUGGCAUAUAGGUGCAUCAUUUCCGGAUCUGUUAUAGUGCAGUGAUUUGAGAAUCUAGACACAAUAACAUAAACCAGAAAAUAGUGCAACAUUCUAUCAUCAAUAGAGAACUUUGCUAGGGAACAGUAAACACGCUCCGGGUUAUCUCCUCCAAAACUCUUCUUCCUCUUGUUGUAAAACUGAUGCUCAGACAAACGACUCAAACUAUAGUAGAAAGCAUGUUUUCUAUAGUCUUCCCACGGAGCCUUUGUGCCAACAAACUUGUGACCACCAGUAGGAAUUUCAAGAAUAACACUUAAAUUAGAAGCCUUCAUAGAGAUCGGAACUCCUUUCACCACAAAUGUUAGUUUCCCUUUCUUCUUCACCAUGUUGGAAUAAAACACUUUGACCAAUUCAGGGUAAAAAUUUGUAUUGUAACCAAUGAGGUCACUCAAUCCCAAUUCCUCAAAAAUAGUAGGAAAACUAAACACAUCUUCAGGAAAAGAAACAAAAGAGCCAUACUUUGGCUUCAUUAUUUUCUUUUGGAAGAAGUAAGUCUCGUACCUUUCCUGUUGACUUUUGGUGGUAAAAAGCCUUGACAAAUCUAGAGGGCCUCUAGAACUAGAAACAUUUCCCUUGCCUUUAGAUUUAUGUUGAGAGGCCAUGAAGGUUGCUUGGAGAAAAACAAGGGAUUGAAGGAGAAAGAAAAAGCCUUUGAGUGAAUAAGACAAAUCAUGUAGAAUGCUGAAGAUUUUCAUGAAGAGAGAUGUGGUUUUAUGGUGGUAAAGUGUAGUAAUGAGAAGAAUCAAGUGGUUGGACCAAGAAAAUAAAGAGCAAUGAAUAGAAAUAAAGUGACAUAAAGAGCUUUUAACAAGACUUGGUAAAUAACACUUACUUGAAAAUAGGAAAAGGAGAAGGAAUGGGAGAAAAAAGUGGUAAAAGACAAAAAUGAAUAAAUGAAAUAUGGAAGAGUGUAUCAGUAGAUAUAACAGGAGGCACAUGUGAAGAAAUAAAGUGAGAAAAAAAUAGGAGAGAAAUGAUGUGCAUGCUGAACACAUAAAACAAAAAAAUUUAAAGACCAAUCGAUUGGCAUAGUGAAAAUUUUGAAAAAAUAAGAGGACCAAUCGAUUGAUAUUAAGGAUUCAAUCGAUUGGUUGAUGAAAUAAAUUAAAAAAAAUAAAAAAAUAAGGAAUCAAUCGAUUGAUAUAAGGAUGUAAUCAAUUGAAUGAACUUACUGUAAAACAAAAAUUGAGAAAUUAAGAUGGACCAAUCGAUUGACACAAGACCAACAAUCGAUUGACACUAAACAAAUUUUGAUAAAUGUUUAAAAUUAACACAUCAGCAAACAUACUUAUUAAAUUAAAAACAUUUUCAAUUACAUUUAAACAAUUAAUUACUAAAUAUUAUGAGAAAGAGUGCACCUUUAAAUUUGAAUUGAUGUGUUUUUGAUGAGUUAUAUAUCACACUCAUCUAGAAUCCCAAGUUCCCUUCGAAUUUUGUAAAACAGUUCCCGUGCCAAAGGAUUUUUGAAGAUGUCGGCAAGUUGAUUAUGAGUAUCCACAAAUGUGACUUUGACAUCUCCUUAAACCACGUGGUCACGAAGAAAAUGAUGUUGAAUGUCAAUAUGUUUGGUUCUUGAGUGCAUGACCGGAUUCUUUGUAACGUUUAUCGCACUUGUGUUGUCACAACAAAGAGGAAUGCAUCCAAGCUCGAGUUCGUAUUCACGAAGUUGUUGCUUAAGCCAAAGUAUUUGAGCGCAACAGCUACCUGCUGCUAUGUAUUUCGCUUCGACAGUGCUAAGAGAAACACACACUUGUUUCUUGCAAGUCCAAGAUACUAAUGCAUUUCCAAGGAUGUGACAUGUACCACUAGUACUUUUUCAAUCAAUUUUACUUCCUGCAUAAUCAGCGUCAGAAUAACCAACUAAUUUGCAAAUACUACCUUUAGGAUACCAUAGGCCGGCAUUUAUUGUUCCCUUGAGAUACUUCAUGAUCCUCUUAACAGCGGUGAGAUGUGAUUCUUUUGAAUUGGCUUGAAAACAAGCACAAAGACACACGCUGAACAUAAUAUCAGGACGACUUACCGUCAAAUAAAGUAAGGAACCAAUCAUACCUCGAUACUUUGUUAUGUCAAUCGAAACACCUGAUUCAUUUUGAUCAAUAUAAGAUCCGGAUCCCAUUGGAGUAGACAUUGCCUUGCAACUAUCCAUGUCGAAUCUUUUUAAUAACUCUUUGCAGUACUUCGAUUGGUUUAUGGAAAUGCAAUCCUUUAGUUGCUUAAUUUGAAGUCCAAGAAAAUAGUUCAUCUUACCCAUCAUGGACAUCUCGAAUUCUCCUUGCAUCAUCGAUGAAAAUUCUUCACACAUUUCUUUGUUUGUUGAGCCGAAAAUGAUGUUGUCAACGUAGACUUGAAGCAAUAAAGUGUUACCUUUUAUUUUCUUAAUAAACAAGGUUUUUUCAAUUUUACCUUUUUCAAAACCCUUUUCACAAAGAAAGUUACUCAGACAAUCAUACCAUGCUCUAGGUGCUUGCUUUAGGCCAUAAAGAGCUUUCCUCAACUUGAAAACAUGUGAAGGAUUUUUGAAGUCUUCAAAGCCCGAGGGUUGUUUGACAUAGACUUCUUCAUUGAUGUAGCCAUUCAAGAAUGUGCUCUUGACAUCCUUUUGAAAUAAUUGAAAAUUUAAUGAACAUUCAUAAGCAAGUAAUAAACGAAUAGCUUCUAACCUUGCAACUGGAGCGAAUGUUUCUUCAAAAUCAAUGCUUUCCUCUUGAUUGUAUCCUUGGGCCACCAACCUUGCUUUGUUUCAAACAAUUAUACCAUUCUCAUCAGGCUUGUUCUUAAACACCCAUCUGGUACCUAUGAUGUGUUUAUUACUUGGCUUAGGGAUAAGUUCCCAAACUUGAUUCCUUUCGAAUUGGUUUAACUCUUCUUGCAUAGCAAUUACCCAUUGGUCGUCACCUAAAGCUUCAUCCACUUUGGAAGGUUCAAUUUGUGAAACAAAAGCCAUAUUUAAGCAUGCAUCUUUGAGAUUUAAUCUUGUUGCAACGCCUUGACUAAUAUCACCAAUGACUUUAUCAAUUGGAUUAUCCCUAUGAGUUCUCCAUUCCUUAGGUAGAUCAUUAUCAUUUGUUUUUUGUUGAUCUUGCUCAUCUUGACGUUUUGGUUGAUCACCAUUGUUUCCACUUGAAGUAUCUUUUUGAGGAACUUCUAUCAUAUCAUCAUCAUCAUCACACAAAACAAUAUCCUCCUUGGAGGGGUUAGAUUCAUAGAAAGUAACAUGCAUAAAUUCUUCAAUUUUUAAAGUUCUUUUAUUAUAUAUUCUAAAUGCUUUACUAGUAAGAGAAUAUCCAAGAAAUAUACCUUCGUCGGACUUCUCGUCGAACUUACCUAGAUUGUCUUUGUCAUUGUUGAGGACAAAGCAUUUGCAUCCAAAAAUGUGAAAGUAAGAGAUGUUUGGUUUCCUUCCUUUGAAGAGUUCAUAAGGGGUCUUUUUCAAGAAAGGUCUAACAAUGAUUCUGUUACUUACAUAGCAUGCCGUGCUUACCGCAUCCUCCCAAAAAUACUUUGGAAGAUUUGAAUCGCUAAGCAUUGUUCUUGCAAGUUCCACAAGUGACCUAUUCUUUCUCUCAACCACUCCAUUUUGUUUAGGAGUCCUUGGUGCCGAGAAAUUAUGAAAUAUUCCAUGUUCUUCGCAAAACUCUUCGAAGGAGGCAUUUUGAAAUUCUCCACCAUGGUCGCUUCUUAUGGAGGCAAUAGUUAGUGAUUUCUCAUUUUGGAUUUGUUUUGCAUAUUUCUUGAACGCCUUGAAUGCAUCAUUUUUAUGCACUAAGAAGAAAGUCCAAGUGUAUCUAGAGAAAUCAUCAACAAUAACUAAAGCAUAUACAUUACCUCCGAAGCUUCUUGUUCUUGAUGAACCAAAUAAGUCCAUAUGCAACAAUUGCAGUGGCCUUGUAGUGGACUCCACAUUCUUUGAUAUGAAAGUUGAUUUGGUUUGUUUUCCCUUUUGACAUGCAUCACGCAGUCUAUCUUUGACGAGUUUUAUCUUAGGCAAACCAAUGACAAGAUCAUGCUUUAUAAGUUUAUUCAAAUGUUCCAUAUGAAUAUGUGCAAAUCUUUUAUGCCACAACCAUGACUCAUUAUUGUUUACCAUAAGAGAUUUUACCUUCAAAGAAACAUCAUCAAGAGAAAUCAUAAAUAUAUUAUUAAUUCUCGUACCUUUGAGUUUUACCUCAUGAGAGACUUCAUCUUCAAUCAAACAUUCAUCUUUGGAUAACUUGAUUUUGAAGCCCUUGUCGCAAAGUUGGCUAAUACUUAGAAGAUUAUACUUUAGUCCUUCGACAUAAAGGACAUCUUCAAUGGAUGUGAAAGGUGGUGCUCCAACUUUGCCUAUGCCAAGAUUUCUCCCUUUGUUGUUAUCACCAUAUGUGACAUAACCCUUGGCCUUCAAUGCUAGAUUUGAAAAUUUGUCAAUGUCUCCCGCCAUAUGCUUGGAACAACCACUGUCAAGAUACCAGAGGUUUGAAGUGGUUUUCAAGCAUACCUACAAAACAAAAUUAAGUUUUUUUAGGUACCCAAAUUGCUUUGGGUCCUUCAUAAUUAGUGCCUUUAUUUACCCAUACAUAAUUCCCACUUGCUAUGCUGAAAUUUCUAACAUAGCACACAUUUGGUGUAUGGCCAAUUAUUCCGUAAUAAAAACAAGUAGGUUCAAAGUUGCUUCUAUAUCUAGGAACAUAAGAUUUAUUUUUAGGAAAUCUCUUCUUUUUAGGAUAAUGAUGAACAACUUUAGGAUUGUUUACUUUCUCUUUGGAUGGUUAUUCCUUAGCCUUAACAAAUACAGUUUCACUGGUACUUGGUUUGGAAAAUUUUGAGUAACCAAGACCACUUUUAUCAUUUAAAUAUAUUUGUUGGCUAAGGACUCCUUCCAAUCCAAUUUGUCCUUUUUCAUAUAUUUCAAGAACUCUUUUUAAUUGGACAAUUUGGAAAGAAAAUGACUAACAGUUUUUACCUACAAAGUUUUAUUUUUCACUAAUCAUCUUUUGUUUUUCAUCGUUGACAUCUUUUUCAAUUGUCACGAUUUUUCCUUCAAAAGAUAAAAUUGUUUUAUUUUGAGAUGAUAUAGUUUUAUAUAGAAUUUUGCAUUCUUCAAGAAGUUCAUUUAUAGAACCUUCUGCAUCACUAUCGAAAAGAGAAAAGUUGCUACUAACCUCAUCUUCUUCAUCGUCAGAGUGGUGUGAAGCCAUUAAUGCUAAAUUUGCACAUUCGUCGCUCUCUGAUUUGGAUGAAGAACUUAUCUCAUUAUCUUCCCAUGCAACAUACACCUUUUUGUUCUUGAAAUCCUUCUUGCCUUUAAAGCCUCCUUUCUUUGAGAGUCUUGGACAAUUUGGUUUUAUGUGACCUUGCUUUCCACAUUCAUAACAUGUGACUUCUUGUGUGGAAGUGGAAGCCUCCCUUUUCCUGAAAUGUUUAUUUCUUUCAGCAUGAAAAGGUUUGUCAUUUUUACCAAAAACACUUACCAAGCCUUUUAACAAGGAGCAUGGAAUUUUCAUCUUCCUCCAAUGCGACCUCAUCUUUUUCUUCCUUUGGUUCAACUUUUAAAGCAAUUCCUUUGGAUUUCUUUUCUUGAUUUUCAUGCUUUUCAAUUCUUCCAAGUUCAAGUUCAUGUUCUUGGAGUUUUCCGAAUAAUGAUGCGGACGUCAUUGUAGAAAGACUUUUCUUCUCUGAUAUGGCUGUAACUUUAGGUUGCCAUUCUCUCGUCAAGGAUCUUAGCACUUUAAGGUUGAGAUCAUCAUUUGUGAAGGUCUUUCCAAGAGCAAUUAAGUGAUUUGUUAAGUGGACAAAUCUUUUCUGUAAAGCAACAAUGGAUUCUCCGGGCUGUAUUCUGAACAUUUUGUAUUCUUGACUCAAUGUAUUUAAUCUGGAUCUUUUAACUUCAGUGGUUCCUUCGUGAGUCUCCACCAAAGUAUCCCAUAUUUCUUUCACAGAUUUGCAUUGAGAUAUGCAGAAGAACUCGUCCAUACUUAAUGCACUUUGAAGAAUAUUGAUGGCCUUAUUCUCAUUAAGUAUUCUCUUCUUAUCGUCUUCAUCAUACAAGCUUUUGAUCUUUGGGGUGCCAACACCAUUGACCAUACUUGUCGGAUUAUGUGGACCAUUUUCUACGUUUCCUAGAUACCAUCUCCUUGUGCUUCUAAAUGUGCUUUCAUGCGGAUUUUCCAGAAUUCGAAAUAUUCUCCAGAAAAUAAAGGUGGUUUGUUGCUACUACCUCCAUCUUUAAACGCCGAGUUUGCGCUUGCGGAAUCCAUCGUCUGGAUCUGUGGAGCAAGUUACCAAAACCUGCUCUGAUGCCAAAUGUAAGUUAGGAAUGAGCCUAAGGAAGGGGGGGGAGGGUGAAUUAGGACUUUAGAAAUUUUAUUCUGAUUUGGUGGAUAAAGGUUCUUUUCUUUUCUGGAUUGAUAAGAUAAUCGAAGCGGUAAAGAGCGGAAAGUAAAGAACACCAGGAAUUAUACUGGUUCCCCUCACAACUUGAGAGUACUCCAGUCCCCUUACAAUGUGUAAGAGAUUUUAUUAUUGUUAGAUCUCCUAAAUCAAGCCUCUAACUAAGUGAUCAAGAACAAUCCUCUUGAAAACUUAACUCACAAGAAAAGAAAACAAUCCUUCCUUUUCUUGACACUUAUAUCCAACAAUCCUGGAUGAUAAGCAACACACCUAAAACCAAACAAUCCUUGGUACUUAGCAUUUUCCAAAAUAAUUUUGAAUGAAUAUGAAUAAUUGUAUUGGACAAGACUUUAAUCAAUUGAUUAUAAUCUUCUUCUCUUUCAAUAUGAAGUUUCAAGACAAAAUAAUCUCUAAGUGCUCAAGAGUACUUUUGAAGAAAUUGAUAUGAAAAUUCUAUUUCAAAAGUAUCCGAAUAUGAAAAUAUAUAUAUGAAAAUAAAUGUAUAGAGAUUUUGUAAAUUGAUUUGAAAGAGGUGAAUUUGAAAUGAAAAUAUAAAGAAUAUUUAUAGUAUGAAUGCAUCCCUUCAAAGAUAACAUGCCAAUGGUUAAAAGAGAAAUCUGAGAUUUGUUGAUGAAAGGAUGUAAGGUUUUGCCAUGAAGAGUUAUGAUGAAUUGGUGCAAAGAGUGGUGAAAUAAAAUUUUAGAUUUUUCAAAAAUUUCCCAGCAUCAAUCGAUUGACUCUCAUAACCAAUCGAUUGACAUAACCAAAAAACUGAAAAAUACACUAAGAUCAAUCGAUUGAUAUACAUCACCAAUCGAUUGGUCCAGCUUUGAAAAUGAAAAAUGCUAAAACAAAAAGUUUGAUCAAUCGAUUAUAAUAUAACAUCAAUCGAUUGACAUAGGCAAAACUUUGAAAAAUUUCUAAGUUAAAAAACUUUUGAAAAUGCAUUGUUUUAAACAUCAUUUUAAAACAAAAAAUCAUGAUAGAAAAAGUUUUAAAAUGAUCAUAUGAUGUAUGAUAAAAACUUUUGAGCACUAGGAGUAUAUUGUCAAGAAUUCUAUAUACCUUUACUAGAUCCAUGAAAAACUUGAGCAAUAUUGAAAUGAUCUUCUUUUUCAUUCUUUUGAUAUGGAGGGAUUGGUAUGCUGUCUUAAUCAAAAUCUUGUAGGAAGUUUGUCUUCACACUUACAACUGCCCCUAUUUAAGGACAUUCUAACUGAGGAUGUGAAGGUUAAAAUCUUCAUAUCGACUUAGUAGAAUGGACUUAAAUAACAACACAUAGAAACAAAUUUUGGUCCAUAAGAGACCUCAUGAUACAAAUGAUAUGAAUGUUAAAAAUAAUCUUUAUGGGGAAAUAUGUUGCCACAAAGGAAAAUAAUCCAGAGAGACUGGAAGUCCGCAUGUGUAAGACCCCAAUUUUGACCCUAAGAUCCAUCAUGCUAUCUCAUCAUAUGUCAAUUUUGUAGGUAGUGUGUAUGCUCACCUAUGCUCUAUCAAGCUUAUAUCUAGGGUUGAGACCCUCAAUGCAAGGAGCUCAAUCAAGAAAUGAUCCACAUUGGCUCUAAGUAUCAUAUAUUUAUCCCCAUUAAAUCCACAUGUUACUUUGAUCAAGAAAUCUUCAAGAGUUUGGAGUUUGUUUGCCUUGGAAACCCUAAUUCAUCUGGGUAUCUUGUGUGACUUAUUUAACAAGUUUCUUCAAAAAUUUAUCAAAUAUUUUAAGGGAUACUUCACAUUACAUAAUCUUAUGCACAUAUGAUCUUCCAUGAGUCCCAAAAGUCAAGAGAAUGUCAAGCUAGCAAGUUGGUUCAUGGUGGUUGACUAGAGAAAGUCAACUAGUCAAAACUGUGGUUCCCUAGACCCUAUAUCCUACAAUUUGUGUCAUAUGAAAAUGAUUCCAAGAUAAUAUUUACUCAAAAUGACAUUCCAAACAACUUUCAUAUUGAGGUCAAGAGCUAGUUUUUCUUGUAAAGUCAUUUUAUAUGGUGAAAUAUUAUAGGUCAUUUUGUCUGAACCCUAGUUUGGAGGUCAACUUCCCAAGAUCAUAACUUGAUCAAUUUUUAUUAGAUGAGAGACAUUCAAGUUGAAUUAUCAAUUCAAUAUGUUUACUCCAACUUUGAUUCUUGGAAUAAGUUCAAAUUCAACUUGCAAAUGCAUGUGCCAAGAGGAAACAUUAUAGGUCAUUCUGGGCCAUUACCGUUGAACAAGUGAUUUUCCUCAACUUCUAAAAUGCAUAACUCCUUCAUUCCAAAUCAAAAUGAGGUCAAAUUUGUGACCAAAUUGAAUACGUUUGAAAGAUCUACAACCUUGAUGAAGGAACUUUUCUCAUUUGAAAUCUAUAGAAAAAGUUAUUCAAGGUGGAAGAAGUGAACAUUUGACUUGGGACUUAGAAAAUUUUCAAAUAUGUUUGAUAUCCCAAACGUCCACCUCAAAAUUCAUCAUGAUCCAAGGUCCAAAUGAAAAAAUUGUUCAACAUGAAAGUUGUUCCCCUUGAUCUCACCUUUCCAAAAAGUCCAAAAUCAUCUCAUUUGGCCAAAGUGUGAGUGACUUGCGCAUGGGUGUAAGUUAAAGCACCAUUUGGAUAAUUUCAACUUCCAUUUUUCAUACACAUUUGCAUGGACUUUUAACAUGAUUUCAGUAUGAAGUACAUUGAACUUUGGAUCAGAUUACAUCAUCUCAUGGGCCUAGUAGGCGCCCAUGCAUCCAUGCAAGAGAGAAUUUCAAAUUUUGCCAAAAUUGGAAGUGUGCAAAUAUCAAUCCCAUAGCCUAUAAAUAGAAGUGCAUUAUGAUCAUAACUUGAGGAAAACCUUGCCCAAGCGUUACUAGACUGAUUCAAACCCCCACUGCCAUAGAAUUUCUGAAUAUUUCUCUUGAAAUCGAGCUUGAACUUCAUCUUCUGUUUGGAAGUUCAAACUCCAAAAAUUCACUUCCCUUUUUAUCUCAAUUGACUUCUGCAAGCAAGAGGAAGAGAAAUCAAUCAAAUCCAGAUCAAAAUCAAGUGGAAUUGGAUCAACUCGAAGGUGAUUUUUCAGAAACUUCAUCUCUUUGAUUAUCUCACAAUUCUUCAUCAUUCUUUGUGAUUUUUGGUUGUCUGAAGUCCUAUCAAUGUAUGCAAGAAGAUUGAGUUGCUUUGAGGUCAAAUCGAAGCAACUCAGUUCAUGAUCCUCAAAAUUCAAAUCCCCGUAUCUUUUUAUAUUCUUGAAAUUGGACAAAAUUGAGGCCAAAUUCGAGCUCCUAAGCAUUUUUUCUUUAAAUCCAUAUCUUGAUAUUUCAUUUUUGUGGAAGUUGGUGGUGGACCAGUCGAUGAGGUCCACUGGAGAUGACAAUCGGAGCCCUAGCUCCGGUGGUAUGGUGGCAUGCGCCUAUCCAUCAGAUUUUCUAUCCAUCAGAUUUUCUCUCCAUCUUCUAAUCUCGCGCAUUGCUUCUGAUUACCACGUGUGUGUUUCAGUUGACCAAGGUACAUGUGGAACACGCGUUUCUCACCAUUUGAUCUACCAUCUCAAUUAAUGAGGGAGAUCAGAUGGCUCUCCUUUUUUGAAUUUCUGAAUAUUUUAUUUAAUUGCUUAUUUUUAAUUAAUUCAUAUUAAUUUCAUUUUUAAUCCAAAAAAUAUGGGACUUUUACCCAAAAAAUUCAAAUAUUUUCCUCUUUCAUUUUCUGAAUUAAAAUUAUUUUUUGGAUUAGUUUUGAUAUUUUUUAUGAUUUAAUUGUUUUUAUGCAUAAUUUUAAUUGUUUAAAAAUACUUCUGACUUUUCAAAAAUAAUGAAUUUUUUUGUCCAAGGUCCUUUGACCGUGUUUGACCUAUGAUAAAUUUCUUGGCCAUUUAUUUGGUGUUUUGAAGAGGUUUUAGGAUUUUGAUCAAACAUAAUUUAAUUUAAAUGCAUUUUAAUUUAAUUUUUAAUUGAUUAAUGUGUAGAAAUUGUGUUGAGCCAUUUUUAUUGACUUGUGAAGUUUGACUAUGUUUUUGGGCCUUGGUCAAGGUUGAUUUGACUUUUGUUGGAUUAAAAUCAUUGGAUUUAGGGGAUUGAUGAAAUGUACAUUUCAUCUCCCAAAAUGAAUGGAUGAUUUUAAUUUGAUAAAAUUCCUCCCAAUUGACUUUUGUUGGAUUAAAAUCAUUGGAUUUAGGGGAUUGAUGAAAUGUACAUUUCAUCUCCCAAAAUGAAUGGAUGAUUUUAAUUUGAUAAAAUUCCUCCCAUGACCAAUUUGUGUUUGUCUCAUUCCCCCUCCCUCUUUAUCUUCAAUCCCAUUCUAUCCCAUUCCUUCCAUUGACCAUUGAUAUCUCAAUAUCCUAAGGCUAAUUGGUUCAUCAAUAACUUCAUGUUAGAUGAACCAAUACAAGUAUGGAUGAGAUUAGGUCUAUCAUUUGAUCAUUUUCUUUUUGUGUGUGGUAUGUUUUAGGAGUAUGGUUCAUUAUACCAUAUCUCUAACAUGCAUUAACACGAAAAUUCCUAUUGCCCGACCUCAGAUAGUUGUGACUUCUACAUAAGUCCAAUUACGAUUGCUUAACAAAUCACUAAAUUUUAACCAAAAAGCAUAACAUUCUAGUAAGUGAGAUUGUUAGUCUCCCCCCUUUCAUGGUAUUGUAUGGAAACUUGGGCUUUUUUUCUUCCUUCAGAAGAUGUCUUGGUUCAAGGAUCCAUGUUUGUGAAUAGAGGGUUGAGUGUUCUCCAAAGAAUGACUUAAUCAAUUGAAAAGCAAAACUUCACUAACAUCUAAUCAACUAACAUUUGACUAAAUUUUAUCACUAUUGCUUUUUAAUUUCAAGUCAUUUACUUUAUGCAAUUUAGAUUUAAGUCAGUUACCAUUCUAUUUGCCAUUUACAUAUCAUUUAACUUGUUUAUGUUUAUGUCAUUUUCACUUUGCUCAUUUGAGCCAUAUAUUGUGAUUGUAUAUAUUUGUUUGUGUAUCUUGUUUGUGUUUGUGGUCUUAGGACCUAUUAACUUGUUUAUGUUUAUGUCAUUUUCACUUUGCUCAUUUGAGCCAUAUAUUGUGAUUGUAUAUAUUUGUUUGUGUAUCUUGUUUGUGUUUGUGGUCUUAGGACCUUAAAAUACUUAAUAAACAACCAAAUCCCUAAAAAAUGUUUGUGUGGACUGUUGGAUUUGAUCCGAGCCUUGGACUUAGAAUUAGGCAACAUUCCCUAUGCAAAAGGACUUGGCCAAUAUCAACAUUUAUGAAACCAAGUUAUUGUGAAUUGAGCUUUCAUCUGAUGCAAGUAUUAAGAUCCACUUGAAGUCAUCUUCUACAUGGUCUUGAUGUAAAUUUUACUUUGAACCUGUGUCUAAUGCCUUAUUCUAAGCCAUUCAAGGAGUAUGUUAUCUGAUACUUGGGAAGAUAAAAAAGAAGACUAUGAAGUUUCUAGCUUGGAUAUGGCUAUCUUAUUUGAUGCAUUGCUCUUUAUCUUGCUACUUGUUUAUUGAUAUUGCUUGAUUCUAAAGUCCAAAGGAAAAGUUGGUUUCUAUAUGACAUUCUUGUCUAUUGGAUUGUAUCUCAUUAGUAAGACCUUUUCAACUCUUAACUUUUAAUUUUUGCUUAAGAUUAGUCUCUUCAUCUCCUCCCAACUCUUAAAUUUCAAAUAUCUCCCCCUUUUUAAAAUCUUCUUUGCUUGUGAUUUCUAAAAACUUAGACUCUUUUGCAAAUUAGAAACUUUGGCCUUAUGCCAUUACAAUUUCAAACUCUCUUUCCUUAAUCAAACUUGUAAAUGAACUUAACCAUAUUGACUUAAAAUUUCAAAAGACAAAAAGAACUAACACUCAUUCAAACCCUUUUAGGCCUUUUGUGCCUCUUUCAAAUUUAAAUUUUUGUUAAAAGCAAUCCACUCAUUUUGAAAUUUUUACCACGAACUACGAGGUUUUGUUCCCUCAUUUUUAUGUUGGUACAUAGGCACAAGUCCGAAGGUCUUGUCAAACAAAAAAAAACAUCAUUAAUGAAUUAUUUUCUUAUCCCCACACUCUAUUUGUUAUAUCAUUUUAUACCAAAACACAUACACACAUAAAAAAAGGCUCCCUAGGAGUACCUAGGAUACUUUGGGUGCUAACACCGUCCCUCUGUGUAACCAUCCCCCUUACCUGUAAUCUCUGACAUUUUAUUAGUUUUGAUUUGAAAACUUCUUAUCUUUGGGUUUUGUUCAUACUUUUCCAUUUUCGUUUGGAAACAAUAAAAGCGCAGUGGUGACUCUGGUUUUAUUGGAGUUAAGUUUAUCCAUAGCUUAAUGGUCAUGAAUUUACCACUACAGCAGGAGUAUAAUGCAUUCCAUAAGGAACACUCACUAGGGAGAAAAGGACUCUGUGGAAUAAAAGUUGUGUGUAGGCCAGGCUACAACUUGAAAUCUGAUGGAGAUACGAGGGGAAUUCCAUGAAAAUAAAUCAAUGGAAGGACUUGGUCUGGGGAUAAGGGAAAAUUUGUAGGGGAAACGGGUAAAUCAGAACAACUGAAAUACUCGAACCAAGCAGGGAAAUGAAGACUUCACUGGGGAAAUACACAUUCAAACUUAACUGAGGAAGAAAGAUCUUCAACACAGGAGUACCAAAAGUACAUUAUCUAUUAUCAGUUACUGGGUAGGAAGAUAACAUACUCUGACAGAGAGACAUCCAUUACCGAUUAGGGUAAACAUAUCAAGGAUGACUCGUUGAGAAACAGGAGGUGUAUUCGUUUCUGGUUACUGGGUAAGAAUAGCCUUCUGGGGAAAAUAUCAAAUAGGAUUUACAACUACCGGUUACUGGGCAAAAGACUGAAGAGAGAGAAUAUCUGUCACGGGUUAAAAUGAACAUAUCAAGGAUAAACUCAGAGGAAGAAUAUCCGUCAUCGGUUAGGAUGAACAUAUCAAGGAUAAACUGCCUGAAAAAAGUAGGAAUUAUAUCUAUCGGUUACUUGAUAGAAUACCAAAGAGAUAAUAUCUGUCACCAGUUAGGAUGAAUAUAUCGAGGAUAAACUAAGCAUGGGGGAAGCAGGAUUUACAACUAUCGGUUACUAGGCAGAAGACUGCGAAGAGGAGAAAACCCGUCAUCGGUUAGGAUGAUCGUAUCAAGGAUUAACUCUCUGGGGAAUGAAAUAGGGAUUACAACUACCUUUUUACUAGGCAUAAAACCACAAAGGGAGAAUAUCCAUCAUCGGUUAGGAUGAACACGUCAAGGAUAGAUUGCUUGGGGAAACAUGAAAACGAAUCCGAUGGGGAAAAUAGAGGAAGUAAAUUACCUUUACCGGGUAUUAGGAAAAAGUAAAAUACUCACAAAUUAAAAAGAAAUAUCACCAGUUACAAGGAAAUACACUUUCGAGGGACCAAAAGUAUCUAUCUAGGUAAGAGCUAGAAAGAAACGGUCAAACAAAGACUCAACCCAAUGAGGAUAUAACUCAGGAGGAGUGGUUCCAUCCAGGUAAUUAAUUGGGGAGGAAACUGAAAUAAUAAUCAUCCAUGAGGAAAUAACUCAGUGGGGAAUGAUAAAUAUUAAACUUUUUCUGCUUAAAGGGGCUGACACUCUAUAAUUGGAGGAGGACAAACACAUCAAAUCUGCAUGGGGAAAUAUCAUCACCAAAAUAGAGAAUUAGAAUCAAAUGCAAUAAAAAUGCAAAAAUGAAAUAUCUGAUGUAUGAAUAUGUUUGUAUAUGAUUGUUGAUUAUGCUGACACAACUAUCGCAAAGGAUACAAAUGUCACAGAUUUGAAUCAUCACUACAACAUUCAACUAAUCUCGUCAAGAUGGAAACACCAACUAGAGAAACCUAAUGGGGACGGAUACAAAUGAUUUGGCUCUGAAUGUCUCAACCCUGGUUGGGGAAAGAGAAAAGAUAUGCUGAGGAUCUAAGUUGUUAUCUUUGCGGGGAAUUUUAGGUUAACACCAUAUCAAAUGGGAGACAACCUCGUAGGGGACCUAAAUCAAACACUACUCAGAAUCAACACUGUCGAGAAUCAGAAAUGAACUCCGUCGGGGACUACAUGAGACAAAACUCUGUACGAGAUAUGAGCCAAACUGUUGAGGAUGGGAGCCUAUAACUCAACUGGAGGUGACCCACAAACUCAACUGGGGAUACUUGACCAUUGUUGGAGAGGAAAAGGUUACCAAACCAACUGCUUGGGACGACCAACAAUGCUUCGCACUUUAGGACUUACCUAUUCUCAUAUUGCUGUUGAUAUUCCUUACUGAAAUUGAUUGCUUUUUUAAAUUGAUUGCUUUCAUUAUUUAAGAAAAAUGAUUUUUAAUUUAUUUCAAAAUUAUCAUCAUAAAAAAUUCAAUUCUAUUUAGCUGAAAAAUAAAUAAGAGUAGAAACAAUUGGAUAAAAAGCUAAACUUUAUUUAAUAGAGUGGUAGUCUGUAAAUGACAAAACUCCAUAGAUCUUUACAAAAGUUGAAAAAUGAUAAUUUACAUGGAAAAUGGCUACAUUGAACACAACGAUCACUAUUCCUUCUACCAACUUCAAUAUUUGUUGUGCUCUUGGCUUCGGUUGAAAAUGACGAAUCAGAACCGAAUGACUUGCUCAAAACUACUCCCAUGACUAGGGAUCACCCGACUGCAAUUACUUGCCACAAUCCCUAUUUUUUUUGCAUAUAUUGCCCCAAGGUGGGGUACGCAAUCUAUUGGGAUAAUUUUCUAUUUCAUGUCUCUAAUUUUUGCCUGGAUCUCCCUUUCGGGUUUUCAAUCCACCGAGACGCUAAUUUUUGUCUAAGUUGCCAUUUCGGGUUUUCAACUUAGCGAGUUGUUCUUUUCUUUUUAGGCGAAGUAUUUCUUGACUGCAUCGGCAUUCACAGGGAGAGUGAGCUCUUCACCAUCCAUAGUUAUAAGAAUUAAAGCACCGCCUGAAAAGGCUCUCUUAACAACAUAUGAGCCUUCAUAAUUAGGAGGCUAUUUUCCCCUAACAUCUGGUUUGAAAGAUAAAAUCUUCUUCAGCACAAGGUCACCUUCUCUAAACAAACUAGGUCUGACGUUCUUAUCAAAUGCCUUCUUCAUUCUCUGCUGGUAUAACUGGCCAUGACACAUGGCAGUCAACCUCUUCUCUUUAAUCAAAUUCAGCUGGUCAUAUCUGGUAUGACACCAUUCAACUUCUGCCAACUUGGCUUCUAUUAGUACACGUAGUGACGGGAUCUCAACAUCUACUAGGAGUAUAGCUUUCAUGCCAUAAACAAGAGAGAAAGGGGUUGCCCCUGUUGAAGUGCGGACAGAUGUACGGUACUCAUGCAGAGCAAACAUGAGCAUCUCAUGUCAAUCCUUGUACGUUACAACCAUUUUAUGAAUGAUAUUUUUAAUGUUCUUAUUUACAGCUUCAAUAGCCUCAUUCAUCUUAGGCCUGUAGGGAGAAGAAUUAUGAUGUGCACUCUUGAAGUCUUUACAAAGAGCUUCCACCAUGUUAUUGUUCAAGUUCGAUCCAUUGUCAGUAAUGAUCUUACUUAACACACCAUACCGGUAUAUAAUCUGAUUCUUGAUAAACCUUACCACAACUUGCUUAGUUACAUCCGCAUACGACGCCACUUCAACCCACUUUGUGAAGUAAUCAAUAGCCACUAAAAUGAAACGAUGUCUGUUUGAAGCUUUGGGCUCAAUCAUGCCAAUCAUAUCAAUUCCCCACAUGGAUAAGGGACGUACGCAUACGACGCCACUUCAACCCACUUUGUGAAGUAAUCAAUAGCCACUAAAAUGAAACGAUGUCUGUUUGAAGCUUUGGGCUCAAUCAUGCCAAUCAUAUCAAUUCCCCACAUGGAUAAGGGACGUGGAGAGGAAAUGACAUUCAACAGUGUCGGAGGAACAUAAUUCUUAUCUGCAUAAAUUUGACACUUGUGGCAUUUAUUCACAAACUUGCAACAGUUAGAUUCUAUUGUCUGCCAAUAGUGACCUGCUCUCAACAUCUUCUUGGCCAUAGCAUGUCCAUUGGAAUGAGUACCAAAGGAACCUUCAUGGACUUCAGUCAUCAAUAAGUCUACAUCGUGUCUAUCCAUGCAUCUGAGCAAAACCAUAUCGAAGUUUCUUUUAUAAAGCACAUAACCAUUCAGGUAGAAGUUGCCAGCUAAUCUUCUCAAAGUCUUAUUAUCUUUAAAAGAUGCCCCAGGCGGGUAAAUCUGACUUUGGAGGAAACUCUUGAUAUCAAAAUACCACAGUUUUUCAUCUUUGACCUCUUCAACAGCAAACACAUGAGUUGGCCUAUCAAGACGCAUCACAGUCAAAUUAAUGCCCCAGGCGGGUAAAUCUGACUUUGGAGGAAACUCUUGAUAUCAAAAUACCACAGUUUUUCAUCUUUGACCUCUUCAACAGCAAACACAUGAGUUGGCCUAUCAAGACGCAUCACAGUCAAAUUGGGAGACUCAUUCCAAAAUUUCACCACAAUCAUUGAAGCCAACAUUGCAAGAGCAUCUUCCAUCUGGUUUUCAUCUCGAGGGAUAUGAUGAAACUCAACCUUUGUAAAGAAAGUUGAAAUCCUCCUCGCAUAAUCUCUAUACGGUAUCAAACCGGGUUGAUUCGUCUCCCAUUCACCUUGAUUUAAUUCACAACAAAAGUUAAAUCUCCAUAGAUGUUAAGAUACUUGAUUCUGAGAUCAAUGGCCUCUUCCAUCCCCAUGAUGCAAGAUUCAUACUCUGCCAUAUUGUUUGUACACUUGAAAGUCAAUCUAGUUGUAAACGGAAAAUGAGUGCCUUCAGGAGUAAUAAUCACUGCCCCAAUUCCAUACCCAUACUAAUGAACAGCUCCGUCAAAUACCACGCCCCAUCAGGAACUAGGUUCUAGCUCUUCUUCAAUCAAUGGUUCAUCACAAUCUUUCAUUUUCAAGUACAAAAUCUCUUCAUCAGGAAAAUCAUAUUGCACUAACUGGUAAUCUACAAUUGGUUGGUGAGCCAAAUGGUCAGCCAAGACACUACCUUUAAUAGCUUUCUAAGAUCGGUAUUCAAUAUCAUACUCAGAUAAUAACAUUUGCCAACGGGCAAUCCUCCUAGUUAAAGCAGGCUUCUAAAAAAUAUACUUGAUUUGAUCCAUUUUAGAUAUCCACCAAGUAGUAUGAUUCAACAUAUACUAGCAUAGACGCUUAGCAGCCCAAGCCAAUGCGCAACAAGUCUUUCCAAGCAUAGAAUACUGAGUCUCACAAUCAGUGAACUUCUUACUGAGGUAGUAAAUUGCUUAUUCUUUCUUUCCAGAUUCAUCUUGCUAACCAAGAACACAAUCAGUGAACUUCUUACUGAGGUAGUAAAUUGCUUAUUCUUUCUUUCCAGAUUCAUCUUGCUAACCAAGAACACAACCCAUACUUUCAUUAAGUAUAGUCAAAUACAUGAUCAAAGGUCUUCCUUCAACAGGCGAAGACAGAAUCGGAGGCUCAAGCAGAUACUCUUUGAUACUGUCAAAAGCUUUCUGACAAUCUUCGGUCCAAUCACAAGACUGAUCUUUUUGAAGAAGCUUGAAUAUAGACACACAUGUGGCAGUCAUAUGCGAUAUAAACCUUGAGAUAUAAUUCAAGCGGCCGAGAAAACCUCUAACUUGCUUCUCAGUUUUGGGAGCAGGCAUCUCUUGUAUUGCUUUGACCUUGGCAGGAUCAACUUCAAUACCCUUUUCACUGGAAAUAAAGCCCAACAACUUACCAGAACAAACGCCAAACAUACACUUAUUGGGAUUCAAGCGGAGUUUGUACUUCCUCAAAUGCUGAAAUAGCUUCAACAAAUGCUCAACAUGUUCUUCUUCAUCACUUGAUUUGGCAAUCAUAUCAUUAACAUAAACUUCAAUCAAUUUACGCAUCAUAUCAUGAAAAAGAGUAGUCAUAGCUCUCUGGUAUGUCGCACCAGCAUUCUUUAAACCAAAAGGUAUCACUCUAUAACAGAAUGUUCCCCAAUAUCAUUAACAUAAACUUCAAUCAAUUUACGCAUCAUAUCAUGAAAAAGAGUAGUCAUAGCUCUCUGGUAUGUCGCACCAGCAUUCUUUAAACCAAAAGGUAUCACUCUAUAACAGAAUGUUCCCCAGGGUUUAAUGAAUGUGGUCUUCUCCAUAUCUUCAGGUGCUAUCUUGAUUUGAUUAUAACCGGAAAAUCCAUCCAUAAAUGAAAAGACUUUGAAUUUAGCUGUAUUAUCUACCAACAUGUCAAUGUGUGGUAGAGGGAAAUCAUCUUUCAGACUAGGUUUAUUCAAAUCUCUAUAAUCAACACACAUACGGACUUUGCCAUCUUUCUUCGGAACAGGCACAAUAUUAGCCACUCACUGCGGAUACUCCGAGGUUACAAGAAAACCAACAUCAAUCUGCUUUUGCAUUUCCUCUUUGAUCUUCACUGCCAUAUCAGGAUGGGUUCUCCUCAACUUCUGCUUGACUGGCGGACAUUCUGGCUUCAACGGUAAUCUAUGCUCCACAAUCUCAGAAUCUAACCCAUACAUGUCUUGAUAGGACCAAGCAAGCAUAUCAGAAUAUUCUCGAAGAAGAUCAAUCAACCCCUUCUUAGCCUCUGGACACAGUUGAGACCCAAUCUUGACUUCCUUCACACCAUCUUCGGAACCCAAGUUGACUAGUUCAAUCCUCUCUUCGAACGAUUGAAUGGAUUUUUCCUCAUGCUCAAGUAAACGAGAUAAUUCAUCAAAUACUUCUUAAUCAUUAGUCUCUUCCUCAGCUUCAAACAUAGGGAAAUCGAAGUUUGGAGAGGGAGUAGGAUCAUUGUAUUCAUGAACUUGAGAACCAACUUGCAUAAUGAUUUGAUAUAUUGAUUUUAGAGAAGUGAAUUGUGACCAAAUAUUAUGCAGAUGCAAGAUUAUUAUUUAUUUAUGUUUUUUGUGAUUACCAUUUUUCAGAAAGCAAAAAAGUAAAAAUAAAACAUCAAAGAUGUGGGAUGAAUAAUUGUAUUUUAUUGAUGAUAAUUGAAAUGCCCAACAAUGUUCACUUCUCCCUUAGGCAUAGGAGAAGGUUUUCUUAAAAGAAACGCGCCAAAAUAUAGAGAAUAGAAAUAACAAUUACUUAGGUAUCCGGUGAACCAAUAAUAGGAACAUCAACAGCAACCCAAUUGUUGCAAGUCUAGCCAUACGUCACAAAGUUGGCGCAAGUUUCAUCUUCAUCGUCACCAUCCUCAAUCACAUCAGCUGAGUGUUGAUCAUUACCAUGAAUGAACCCUCCACUGCGGAAACUCGGUUGGACAUCUUCAGCUUUGACGUUGAACGACCAUAGUUGAAAUCCCAAUCCGGCCCUAUUCUUAUUCUCAUCAAUCUCUAUCAUACGGCCCCACUGAUCAGUUCUGCUAGUCUCAAUAACUUUCUGAGCAUCUUUCAAAGAAGACAUGGGUGUCAUAGUUUUCUUCACUUUAUCAGCAAUAGACAAGGCUUGGGAUGGAGUUCCAACCUCCUCCUCAACUUCAACAUAAGAAAAGGAUGACAAAUGGCUCACUAAAAGAGUCUUCUCUCCACCAACAACGACAAGCUUGCCGUUUGUAGUGGUAAAUUCAUGACCAUUAAGCUAUGGAUAAACUUAACCUCCAUAAAACAAGAGUCACCACCGCGCUUUUAUUGUUUCCAAAGGAAAAGGGAAAAAGUACAAACAAAACCCAAAUAUAAGAAGUUUUCAAGUCAAAACUAAUAAAAUGCCAGAGAUUACAGGUAAGUGGGUUGGUUACAUAGAGGGAAGGUGUUAGCACCCAAAGUGUCCUAGGUACUCCUAGGGAGCCCUUUUUUAUGUGUGUAUGUGUUUUUGGUAUAAAAUAAUGUUUCCAAUGAAUAGAGUGUAGGGAUGAGAAAAUAAUUCAUUAAUUAUAUUUUUGUGUUUGACAAGACCUUCAGACUUGUGCCUACAUACCAACAUAAAAAUGAGGGAUCAAAACCUCGUAGUUCGUGGUAUCAAUUUCAAAGUGAGUGAAUUGCUUUUAACAUAAAUUUAAAAUUUAAAGAGGCACAAAAGGCCUAAAAGAGUUUGAAUGAGUGUUAGUUCUUUUUUGUCUUUAAAAUUUUAAGUCAAUAUGUUAGUUCAUUUACAAGUUUGAUUAAGAAAAGAGUGGAAAAAUGCAAUGGCAUAAGGCCAAAGUUUCUAAUUUGCAAUAAAGUCUAAGUUUUAGAAAUCACAAGCAAAGGAAGUUUUGAAAAGGGAGAGAUUUGAAAUUUAAGAAAUAGGAGGAGAUGAAGAGACUAAUCCUAAGCAUAAAAUUUAAAAGUUAAGAGUUGAAAAGAUCUGAUCCAAUGGGAAUGCAACCAAUAGACAAGAUGUCAUAUAAGAAACCACUUUCCCUUGGACUUUAAAUCAAGCAAAUAUCAAUAAGCAAGUAGCAAGAUGAAGAGCAAAGCAUCAAAUAAAGAUAGCCAUAUCCAAGCUACCAACUUCAUAGUCUUCUUCUUAAUCUUCCCAUGUAUCAAAUGACAUACUCCUUGACUGGCUCAGAAUAAGGCAUUAGACACAGGUUCAAAGUAAAAUUUACAUCAAGACCAUGUAGAAGAUGAACUCAAGUGGAUCCCAAUACUUGCAUCAGAUGAAAGUUUAAAUCACAAUCACUUGGCUUCAGAAAUGUUGGCACUGACCAAGUCCUUUUGCACAGGGAAUGUUGCUUAAUUCUAAGUCCAAGGCUCAAACCACAUCCAACAGUCCACACAAACAUUUUUGAGGGGUUUUGGUUGUUUAUUAACUAUUUUAAGGUCCUAAGACCACAAACACAAACAAGAUCCACAAAUAAGUAUAUACAAUCACAAUAUAUGGCUCAAGUGAGCAAAGUGAAAAAUGGCAUAAACAUAAACAAGUUAAAUGAUAUGUAAAAUGGCAAAUGAAAUGGUAAAUGGCUUGAAUUUAAAGUACAUAAAUUAAAUGAAUUGAAAUUAAAAGCAAUAAUAAUAAAAUUUAGUCAAAUUGUUAGUUGGUUAAAUGUUUGUCAAGUUUUGCUUUUCAAUUGAUUAANNNNNNNNNNNNNNNNNNNNNNNNNNNNNNNNNNNNNNNNNNNNNNNNNNNNNNNNNNNNNNNNNNNNNNNNNNNNNNNNNNNNNNNNNNNNNNNNNNNNNNNNNNNNNNNNNNNNNNNNNNNNNNNNNNNNNNNNNNNNNNNNNNNNNNNNNNNNNNNNNNNNNNNNNNNNNNNNNNNNNNNNNNNNNNNNNNNNNNNNNNNNNNNNNNNNNNNNNNNNNNNNNNNNNNNNNNNNNNNNNNNNNNNNNNNNNNNNNNNNNNNNNNNNNNNNNNNNNNNNNNNNNNNNNNNNNNNNNNNNNNNNNNNNNNNNNNNNNNNNNNNNNNNNNNNNNNNNNNNNNNNNNNNNNNNNNNNNNNNNNNNNNNNNNNNNNNNNNNNNNNNNNNNNNNNNNNNNNNNNNNNNNNNNNNNNNNNNNNNNNNNNNNNNNNNNNNNNNNNNNNNNNNNNNNNNNNNNNNNNNNNNNNNNNNNNNNNNNNNNNNNNNNNNNNNNNNNNNNNNNNNNNNNNNNNNNNNNNNNNNNNNNNNNNNNNNNNNNNNNNNNNNNNNNNNNNNNNNNNNNNNNNNNNNNNNNNNNNNNNNNNNNNNNNNNNNNNNNNNNNNNNNNNNNNNNNNNNNNNNNNNNNNNNNNNNNNNNNNNNNNNNNNNNNNNNNNNNNNNNNNNNNNNNNNNNNNNNNNNNNNNNNNNNNNNNNNNNNNNNNNNNNNNNNNNNNNNNNNNNNNNNNNNNNNNNNNNNNNNNNNNNNNNNNNNNNNNNNNNNNNNNNNNNNNNNNNNNNNNNNNNNNNNNNNNNNNNNNNNNNNNNNNNNNNNNNNNNNNNNNNNNNNNNNNNNNNNNNNNNNNNNNNNNNNNNNNNNNNNNNNNNNNNNNNNNNNNNNNNNNNNNNNNNNNNNNNNNNNNNNNNNNNNNNNNNNNNNNNNNNNNNNNNNNNNNNNNNNNNNNNNNNNNNNNNNNNNNNNNNNNNNNNNNNNNNNNNNNNNNNNNNNNNNNNNNNNNNNNNNNNNNNNNNNNNNNNNNNNNNNNNNNNNNNNNNNNNNNNNNNNNNNNNNNNNNNNNNNNNNNNNNNNNNNNNNNNNNNNNNNNNNNNNNNNNNNNNNNNNNNNNNNNNNNNNNNNNNNNNNNNNNNNNNNNNNNNNNNNNNNNNNNNNNNNNNNNNNNNNNNNNNNNNNNNNNNNNNNNNNNNNNNNNNNNNNNNNNNNNNNNNNNNNNNNNNNNNNNNNNNNNNNNNNNNNNNNNNNNNNNNNNNNNNNNNNNNNNNNNNNNNNNNNNNNNNNNNNNNNNNNNNNNNNNNNNNNNNNNNNNNNNNNNNNNNNNNNNNNNNNNNNNNNNNNNNNNNNNNNNNNNNNNNNNNNNNNNNNNNNNNNNNNNNNNNNNNNNNNNNNNNNNNNNNNNNNNNNNNNNNNNNNNNNNNNNNNNNNNNNNNNNNNNNNNNNNNNNNNNNNNNNNNNNNNNNNNNNNNNNNNNNNNNNNNNNNNNNNNNNNNNNNNNNNNNNNNNNNNNNNNNNNNNNNNNNNNNNNNNNNNNNNNNNNNNNNNNNNNNNNNNNNNNNNNNNNNNNNNNNNNNNNNNNNNNNNNNNNNNNNNNNNNNNNNNNNNNNNNNNNNNNNNNNNNNNNNNNNNNNNNNNNNNNNNNNNNNNNNNNNNNNNNNNNNNNNNNNNNNNNNNNNNNNNNNNNNNGAUUCAAGCUCCUAGGAUCUCCAUUUGGCUUGUCUCUCUUAACUUGGCUACUCAUGACAAUGGUCCUUUUUACUAUCUCAAGAUGGAAUCCCUAUCACACAAAAGCAAACAUCAAAAAGUUCACAACACAAUAAGAGGAAUGGACAAAGAAUAAGUUUAUAUGGGAAGUCCUUUAAAGUCAACUUUGAAAUUUAGCAUUCUAAAGGCAUGAGGCCUAGUUGCUCUUCAACAAGUUUAGCAUUCUAAAGGCAUGAGGCCUAGUUGCUCUUGAACUCCUUUAAGCAUAGGUAUGUCCUAAUUCUAAGUCCUUUUUCCUUUUUGCAUUAGAUUCACACAAAACAAAGACAAAGCAAUCACAAGAUAACCAUAUAUUUAUAUACAAUAAUGAGCUCAAAUGAGCAAAAGAAAAAUUACAUAAACAUAAAAAUAUGCUCAAGUGAGCAAAAUGAAAAGCAACAUGAAUAAAUGAGCAAGAAAUAAAUGACAUUAAAGGUAAAGGGCAAGAAAUUAAAUGCUCAAAUUAAAGUUAGUAAUUAGUGAAGUUAUGUUAGUUUGUCAUGAGAUAAUGUAGCACUAUGUUAAGCAAUCGUAAGUGGACUAAUGUAGUAGUCACACCUAUCUGAGGUCGGUCAAUAAAACUAUAGGCAAAUAAACACAAGUUAGAGAUCAUGACUAGUAAGCGAAACUCCACAAACUUGCCAUGCCAAAACAAAAGGGGAAGGGCCUCAUGUGGACUUUAGGUUAUUUGCUUGACCAAGAAGCAACCUAUCUUGGACACAAAAUAACUCACUUAAUCAUGGACAAGUUGAGUUUGGUUUGGAUCAAAGAAGGUUAAACCUCUCAUUUGUCAAGACCAACCAUAAGAUAUUAACUCGUUGGUCAAAUGAUGAAAAGAAUGGGAUGAAGAUGAAAGGGAGGGAAAGAGAAUUCGAGUAUCAAAUUCAAUUGAUCAAAUGUGAAUCAAGUCAUCAUCAAUCAAUGCCAAACAGAAAAGAAAUGAAGAUUACAAGUCAACAAGUCAACAAUAUUUUUUUGGUAUUUUUUGAAUUAAAAAUAAAAUGCAAAUUAAAUAAUCAAAAUAUGGUCAAACGUCAAAUUUAAUUAUAAUCAACUUCAACAAGUCCAAUUAAAUUCUCAUAGGUCUAACAUGGUCAAAUAAACUUCGACUAAUUUUCUCAACAAUUUUGGAAAUCAGAAACUAUUUAAAAACAAUUAAAAACACUAAAAAAUAACACAAUAUGAACUAAAAUCUCAAAUAAAUCUCAAAUCAAAUAAGAAAUUGAUGAGACUAUUUUUCGUUGACUUAUCAUGAUCCAUAAGUGUUAGGAAAAUAUUUUUGGAUUUUUCAAAUAUCAGAAAGUAAUUUAAAAUGAAUUAAAACUAUUGAAAACUAAAUAAUUCACAAAAAAUAUUAAAUGAGGUCACAAAAAUAAUUAAAAAUCAAAAUAUGAAACUAGAUUUUUCAAGAAAUUUUUUGGCAUUGGUCUCAUAUUUUUGUGACUUCAAAUAAAAUUUUUAUGAAAUUUUGAAAAUAAAAGGAAUUAACUUAAAUUAAAAAAUAAAAAUAGAAAUAAUGAAAAAUCCAGCGCCAUAGGAUCAAUUUCAUUAAAUGACGUGGCGUGGAUGGAUGGAUCAGAUGCAAGGGCGCAUGGUGCACUUGAGUCAACCGCGCGACAUGAUGAUUUAAAAUAAGUAAACAUAACGAACGCAUGAGAUUAUAACGUGGCCAAGCAAUCCAAGGGCUGGGAAGGUGCAUACGUGGUGAUGGUGGUGGAAACCACCAUCUUCUCCGGUGAGAUAGCAGAAUCUGGCCACCACUUGUAGAGAAUUUUUUUUAACGAAAAUGAAAAACAAGGACAUCAAAUUGAAGCUCAGGUGAUGUACAUCACCACUGUAUCCAUGGAUCUUCCUCACUCUUCCUAUUUUGAGAGAUAUGUGAGAUGGAAGAUCAUGGUGUAUCAACUGUAAAUGCACGAAAUGAAAAAUUUAGACCACCACUGGCCUGCCUCAAGUGUGAGGACUUCAGAAAACCACACAAACAAGAGAAUACUACAUUGUAUUGCAAGAUCUAGAUCCAAAAAGUUUGAAGUUCUACAUCUGAAUUGGAGCUCUUAAGGCCACAAAUUCUUCAAGAUCUUGAUUCCUUUUUGCUCUGGAGAUGUAAUGGAGAUGAGAGGCUAAGGAAUUGAGCUUUGAAAAUCAACUAAUGAUGUUGAAUUUCAAGCUUGAAAAAGAGAGAAACAUCUGAAAAUUCCUUUGGUAUUGGUUGGGAUUUCAGUGCUGCAGCAUUUCAGGUCUCCACAAGGUUCCUGGAUGAAUGAGAGGGAGCUCUUAUUUAUAGUUGAAAUGUAGCUGAGUUCAUGAUUCCCUCGUGUGCAUGGCAAUUUGAACUUUGGUGUAUGGGCUUGUACAGGCGCAUGUGAGGCCCAAUGAUGGGUGCUAAACCAAGCUGAACUCAAUUGAAAUGGAAUUGGAUGUGUACAUGUGAUGUAAUCAGCUUGCACAUUGAGUUUCAACAUGAAAUGCAUAAAUGAACAUAAAGAAAGAGCUCUUCGAGACUCACCAAUGGAAAGUCCAAAAAAGUAAUGUGAGUAAUGGUUGGAAAGCCCUUGAAAUAAGGAACAAAAGUCAUGUUGGGAAAAAAUUCAUUUGGCAUUUGGAAAUUAAUGAAAACUGGUUGUGAAAGUUUGGGUACAAAACAUGUUUAAGUCUCCCUUUGAAAAUUUUCACCAAAAGCAAGCCUAUUCAAGCCCUUCUGUU
rnacentral:lncRNA from 1 species